rnacentral:lncRNA from 1 species
CGGAGGGAGUAGGUAGCAGCGCAAUUUGGUAUCUAUACAGUAGCACAUGCUGGUGCCUAAUACGUGUAAUCCGCGGGGAGGACGAAUCUUUUGAUGUGAGUAAUACUAAUUUUACAGUUCAGUUCUACUCUACUACUUGACCAAAAUAGCAGACGGUAGAGAUAAAAACUGAGAGCUGGAAUUUAGAAGAGAAGAUGUCAGAAUUGUGUACGUGGAUAGCUAACAGUAUAGCCCACGGGAAGAUAUCAGAAUUCUUUCUAAAAAAGAAGAUAUCAGAAUUAUGUUGAUCGUGCUGCCGGAAUUCAAUCUUCUGGUGAUCGAUAUAGCAGAAGGAUGGGGUUGCAUUCAACUGUUUAUUAUACAGAGAUGGUUGAAGGAACAUAUAGUCUUACAAAGCAAAUUAAUCCAGUUAGAGUUGUUACUGAUCUUCCAGAUUUCCUUCUUCCCGUUUAGUUGCCGUCUUAAGAAAAAUGUAAUGUUGUUGUUUAUCACGAUUCUGUGGAAUCUUGAAGUCUUGAGUUUAGCGAGUCUUAAGCCAUUUUCCAUUCAGUCGAACAUGUAGCUUGCUUUUCGAUUGUCUGCUUAUUAAUUUAUUUGGACCAAACUAUUUAUUGGUUGGCUGCUUCAUUUCAAUUCAGUUUAGUCAAGUAAGAUGUUCACCUCGUGAUAUAUUGUCGUGCAGCUUCUGCAGAGAAAGGAGUAGCUCUGGUGCAGAAAUACAGAGGCUCUUGGCGUGGUACAUUUGCUGCCUGUUAGAAGCAUUUGUGGCGAUGUAGCUGUGUAGCCUUUUAGCAUAAGCUUUAAAGCUUUCCCGAUGUUGUUUUAUUCUCCUUCGACUAUGCACAUAUGCUUUCUCUAACAAUUUACGUUUGUUCUGGAGCCACUGUCUCUGAGAAAGGCUAACAGUUAGUUAAUCCAGGGGCAUAUGCAACUAUCUGUACCUUAUCUUGUGUCUUCACUGAUGCAACCGGACUCUCGGUGUAUCUCGUAUGAUGUUCUGGUUCUGCUACUUUGCUGCCUUUUCUUUGGAUGUAGCUUAAUUCCUUUGAUUUCUAUUGUUUUGUUUGUCUAUCUCACCUGAAAAGUGAAUAAUCUUACUGCAUUCUCGACCGUAGUAUAUAUCUGUCGAACUAAAGUUGGUGCAGUCAGGAUGGGCAAAGCACCGAUCAUUGGGUAGGGUUUACUGGGUUGUUUGGUUUGUCAUAUUAGCAUCUACAAUCGGACCCACCACUUCCCUUCGGGCGGACAGCUAGAAUACCGGGGAAUCGAAAAUACUCAAUCAGACCCACCAAACCUAUACCAAAUGUUUGGGAAACGUUUGGGGCCGGGGCGCCGGCCGAAUCUUCGGCCGGUCGCGUCCACUCGCCUAGCGACACGUAGGAUGGGGGCCCACUCGCCUAGCGACACGUAGGAUGGGGGCCCACCUACAUGCGUCUUCUUUCUCUUUUUUUCUCUUCUUCCUAUCGCUCAUAUCUCUCUUCUCUCUCCUGCCGCUAUGGUCAACCCGGCGCCACACGCCAGAGGCCCCUUAGGGGAAUCAGCUGAUCUGGCCGCCCUAGACCAGAUCCGCGUGGAUCCACAUGCAUCGAAGCUUUGCCUACUUCGUCGACGACCCAGCCAGGCUGGAGUUGUAACCAGCCAUGGCAGACUACACCCCAUGGCGUAAUUCGCUGGAACUGGCAGACGUCGAGGGGUACAACCAUGGUGUUUUUUUGCUACAACCGUUUGUUGGUUUUGCUCUACUAUCAGCGUGCAGAACCUUGCAAUUUCGGUGACCCUCGACUAGAAAGUGGCAGAGGCAUUGCAGAACCUGCUGCACGCGCUCAUGCUACAAUCACGCGUUCAUGCUGUAAUAGCUAACCCAAAAGCUUCAAAUGAGAUGAAAAAGAAGCUUCAACUAGAUAUAUGAAAAGCUGCAAGCAGUCAUUGGCAUGUUAGAAUGCCAUGUCAGAAUGCUACAACUGUUGACAUAAAAUGCUACAACCCUUGAUAAAAAAAGUUUCAAUCGAAACGAUAGAGAAAGCAUUAACCAAGACUGUUACAACGAAAAAUAGCUGCAACUGUUGAUAAAAAAGUUUCGACCGUAGAUGUAAAAAGCUACAACCAUUAAAAGAGAAAGCUACAACCAUACACUGCAUAAUCAAAAAAGUUGCAUCCAUUAUAGAGAAAGCUUCAAUCGUAUGUGCGAAAAGCUUCAAUCGUUGCCAUGUCAAAAUGCUACAACCAUUGACAUAAAAUGCUACAACCCUUGAUGAAAAAAGCUUCAACCGAAACGACAGAGAAAGCAUUAAUCAAGACUGUUACAAUGAAAAAUAGCUGCAACCAUUGAUAGAAAAGUUCCGACCGUAGAUGCAAAAAGCUACAACCAUUAAAAGAUAAAGCUACAACCAUACACUGCAUAAUCAGAAAAGUUGCAUCCGUUGUAGAAAAAGUUUCAAUCGUUGUGCGAAAAGCUUCAACCGGCAUGCGUUGCCACCGGAGCUGCAAUCACAGUUAAUGGCCUGGUAGCCGUCGUCGACGCAAUUUUGGUGCAACGAUGAGCAUCAAUGGCGAGUCGCGGCGGCGGAGCUACAACCGGGGAGAGCUACAAGUGUCGCCGCUGCAAGCUGCAACCGCAGAUGUAGUUUGUUUCAUGCGUCGCGACGACGAUGAGAAUGGCCGGCGAGUGUUGGAAGCGGCGACGGGGACGGGCGACGAGGGUGGGGACCGGCGACGGGGAUGGCCGGCGAGGGUGCGGAUCGGUGACGAGGACGGCUACCGGAAGGGCUAGGAGGCGCGGCGCGGCGCAACCCGAGUGAGGGGAUCGGACCCGAGGAAGAAGAAGCUGGGGUAAUUUUUUUUGCUCCAGAUCCAACUGCUGCGUAGCUCGCAUCGGGCGGCUAGGGCUGGACCGGCCGAAAUUUUCGGCCGAUGCGCCGACGCCUAGCAGUGCCCCAAAUGUUUGGGCUGUCCGGCACCCUUCAUACGUAACUCCACCAAACUCAUCCAAAGCUAUGCCAAAUGUUUGGGCUGUCCGACACCCUUCAUAUGUAACUUUACCAAAUCAAUCUCAAAUGUUUGGGCUGUCCAGGACCCUUCAUAUGCAACUCAGCAUAUAUUGGGUGGAUAUGAGGUGGUCAAAACCUCGGCUCUUCCAGCCGCACCAUCCCAGGGACUUUGCCCAAUAAGCAGCAACGGCAACACACGAGGAAAAGGGCAUGUUGUCGAGGGGCGGCCAGGAAGGAGCAGGUUGAGGCCAUGCCACCAUGUUGGGCCGGCCGGAGGACACAAACAAUAGUCGGAGGAAGGCCCGAACUUCGCUAGAUCGGAUCCGGGAUGGAGGGGAAGGGGGUGCCACGGUGCGUCAGGGUCGGAGUGGCCUGCCAUCACCAUCCUGGGCCGGCGUGCAGCUUCGUCGGUAGCCCUCCAACAGCGGCGAUGCAGAGGGAGGAGGGAGCUAGCGGCGGUGGCUAGCUUUCCCUCAUGUUGCGGGGAAUGAGUUUCACCCAAUUCUACACACACAAAAACGGAAAAAAAUCAUAAAAAUCAAACUAUUAUACAAUAAUUACUUUAUGUAACAAGGAUAUAGAGAGAGAUUGUAGAAAGGGAUGGGAUAGUUAUUUUUGUAAAUUCCUCAACUUAAGAAAAAACACAUAUACAUAACAUAAAAAAUAAUAAGUAAGAUGAGAUUCGACCUCCCCCUGCAUACUUAAUUUCUUCUCCUAUACAAAAGCUAGCAAACCCGGCUCCAUUGGUAAUUCCAUCAAUAACACCCUUAUAAAAAAAUGUUAGUUCGGUUAAUCCUCUUAUAUCGAGGAUAAAAAGUCCCUAUUAUACAAAAUAUCUAUAUAACCAUGAUUAUAUGACCAACUGAUGGUGUGUGUCUUUUCUUUCGAUUUGUAGGUUGACGGUGACCAGAUUAAGCAUGGCGACUUAAGAAAUUGUUUGCUAUUUACUUCUAUGGCAAUUUCCUGUUUCCUAUCCUGGCAAUUUUGCCAUGUGAAUUAACAUGUUGUAUGGUGGUGGCAUGAAUUUUUUUUGAAUAAAAAAUCUUAUAACAUGGCAAUACAUUGUUUUAGUUCAUUCACAUGACAUUUUUUUGAAUUUUUUCUAUCCUAAAUCAUGGCAAAUUUAGAUAAUUGUUUGUAAUGGUCACAUGUGAAAUGUAGGGUUUUGUUGUUCUAUACAACAAUCCAUGUUUUUAAUAAUGUUUUAGUAGUCGCCAGACAAUAAAUUCUUUCACUUUUGUACAUUUGCAUGGUAAAAAAAUUAGGACGUUUUUCUGUCCCAAAUGACGGAAAUUUUUAUACAAUUGUUGUUAUUUUCACAUGGCAAAAUGUAGGUAUUCUGUUUCUGAGUUGAACCAUGGCAAAAAAUGGGCUUACCAUGGCAUUUUCAUUGUAAUUUUCCCUUUUACCAUGUAUUUGUAGAUACUAUGGCAUAUUAUUUUCUUGAACAUAGUAUUUUUUCCAUGAUCCUUUUAAAAAAAUCCACUCAUCUAUGAUUUUCCUACCUUCCACCAUUAUAUAGACAUGAAAAAUGCACACAUAUUACGAAUUUCAUCUGUCCGAGUUUCAACGAGCCAAUGUGAAAUUUGAUGACACAUGCCAAUUUUGGUUUCCUUUGCCAUGUCCAUGUCCAAAAGUAGAAAAACGAGAACUUGCGAGGUAUUAUCUACAUUUUUGACGAUCCAUGGUGAUUUGGUUUCAUGAUGCAUGGCAAUUUGGUUUGAUGACACAUGGUAAUUUUGGACAUGUCCAUGUCCAAAAUGAAACUAAUUUUGCCAUGUAUCAUCUACAUUUUAUCCCACAUUUGCCAUGGCAAGCAAGAUCCUUUGUACUACCUUUUGACAAUUUAAUUUCAUGUUUGGCCAUGCCAACAAUUAUUCCUUCCCUUUUUUGAUGAUGACAUGAUAACAUGUGUUUCCAUGGAAAAUUUGAAAUAUUUUUUUAGGAUAUAUUUUGCUAAUUUUGCCAUGUCUUAUUUACAUUUCUUCUGAUAUUUUCCAUACCUAUGAAAAAUAUUUUUGUUGUCUUUAGCAGUUUUGUUCUCAAUUGCGCCAUGGUAACUAAAUAUCCUUAACUUUUUGUGUUCCCAUGGCAAUUUUUGAAAUGUUUGUUGGAAAACAAAUUGCUAUUUUUCCAUGCCUCAUCUAUGAUUUUAUUUACUAAAUUUUCCAUGGCAAAAGAAGAUCUUUUUAUUGCCUUGGCAAUAUAUUUUUUUCCAAUGCCAACUAAAUAUACUUCAAAUGGAGUUUUUGUAGCAUGGCAGAUUUUGGUUUGCGAAAUUUAGAUGCACAAUAUUCUUUGAUAAUGAAUUAUAUAUAUAUAUAUAAACAAAUAUAACUUUACAUACCAUGGUCAAUUAUUUUGGUACAUUUAUUUUGGACAUGGCAAAUUUAUUAGACAUACCAUGGCAAAUUAGAGUUUUUGAUAAAUUAUUUUGUGUAUGCCAUGGCAAAUUUGUUUCUACAUGACUAUUUCAAAACUUUUAAUUUUAAUUUUUUUACCAUCUUCUCUUAUGAAACAAUUUCUUUGGUUAAUCUACUAUGUGAUGGUACAAAUAAUUUUAGAAUUUUGCAUGCUCUAUACAAACAAUUUCCCCUUAAUUGAUAUGUGAUGUUUUAUACCUUUCUUCCAAAUCUUGCCAUCAUUGAAUUUUUAUUUCACAAUGGCAAGAUUUACAUUCAUUAGUUGCAUUGCUAGACCAUGGCUGGUUUUACAUCCAUGGCGAAGAAAAACAAUAUCAAAAUUUUAAACAAAAUUGCAUUGCUAGGCCAUGGUAAUUUGUUUCUUGGAAAAUUUAUUUUCAGAGCCAUGUCAAUUUAGUUUUUUCCCUGUGCCAUGACAAAAUUGUCUUUGACAUUCAUGUCAAAUUUAGUUUUUCAGCAAUUUGAAAAAUUCCACACGUUACAAUCACAGUAUAAAAACUCAAAUUGCAUUUUUUUCAUUUAGUGUUAUGUCGGGGGCGAUGCUGAUUCCCGCCAACACCUAUGGGGACAGGGCCCCUUUUCGGUUCGGUGGGGGGCGGAGAGCGCACAAAGAGCGGAUCGAGGCAGUGCACGCGGGCGAUUUUACCCAGCUUCGGGCCGCACGGAUGCGUAAAACCCUACUGCUGCUUGUUUGUGUAUAUUGGAUUCUUGCUCAGGAGUGAUGGACGCUGCCAGACUGAGCUUGAGAGUGUUCCUGGUGUUAAACGAGCCGAACUGCUCGAGCCUCUGAAUUCUCCGAACCCCCUCUACGUUGCAGCCGGGCCUCCUUUUAUACUUUAAAGGGGUCACCGACAGGUGGCAACGUAGACUAGAAGGGUAAAAAUGGAAAAGGAUGCGGUAGGUGCAGCUACCGCUACUGUGGAUACAGUGCACCCUACCUAACUCUGACGGCAGGGGACAAGGGCAUUAAAUGCCUGUCUGAGUCUCCUAAACAGUGCAAAAGGUGACCGUUAGGAGCGCCACCGUUUGCCACGAUGGGCUUCUCUUCAUCUCCGCUUGCCACCACGUACCCCUAGCUGCACGGCCUCCUGCCACGUGUGCUUGGCAGAGUCCUAGGGCGACACGUUAGCAGGUGUGCUGGAGCGCGGGCACGAAGUGGGGGUUUCCCGCGGCAUGCUCCUUGCCGCGGCCGUCAUCUUGUCGCGUCUGGAAGCUUGUCGCUCGCCGGUUCUUGCCGGGACGCAGGGCGCGUCGCGGCAAGCUUUCUUGGUAUGUCUUGAGUGGCCUUCCCGGCAAGCUCCUCUUGCCGGGGUCUUGUCUCUUCCCGGCAAGCUCCUCUUGCCGGGGCCUUGGUUGGCCUUCCCGGCAAGCUCCUCUUGCCGGGGCUUUGAUUUGAAUACUUUGUUCUUGAAUGGUCUUCAAGGGAACCACGGAGGGUCCUGGCGGUAACCCGGCAAGCCUUGCCGCGGGGCGCUGCAACUGCCUGUGCACGAGUUCGGGGUAAUAGGGUACCCCUACUCUAGUACACCGAUAGGAGCCCCCGGGCCUGGGUCAUACACGAUGCCGAGCGCUGUUGGGCCAGGCCCAAAACAGUGCACGAGCAUGCGUGGCCUAGGUCACGCCGAAUCUAACUCUGCUCCCACCGCGCACGCCCAGAACGGCACGCGUCAAACGCGGCGUCGAGAUCGUGGGUGGCGUGCGUGGGGAUAAGCCCCCCGAGCAUGCGUCAGGCCAUGAUGAUGGGGACGAUUCACGCCCUCCUCCUUAAACGGAGGUAGGUGUGAGGGUGUGGUGCAUUUACUGGACGAGGCCGGUGCGCGGUUUUCGGGACGUCCACUCCCCCCGUUCACGGGGCGGAGCGACGCCGCCUCAUCUGUCGCCUUAGUUCUGCAUCCCCGCCACGCGGCUCCCAUGCGCUUGAGGUCACGGACGGUGGAUUGGGAAACUGGGCCGUCGCGAGCGGGUUGGCCCCGACUCCCUGCCCUUCCCAUGCCUUGAUUCGCUGAGCAGGGCGGCCGAGCCCCCACCUCGCUCCUUUAUAAAGAGCGGGAUGGGAGCAUGGAAACCCGCACUCUCUCAUCUUCUCCUUUCUUUAGCUUCUGCUCCCCUUUCUCUCAUCUGCCAUGGAGAAAGGGAACCCAGGCCCUUCAUCGGUGGCAGCGAGGGUCGCCACCAGACAGUGCCUCUCUCCCUCUUCUGCGCCCGUGGUGGCUGAGCCAGUCUUGAGGGGAAGAGGAAGGGGACGAGGUCGCGGACGAGGUCGAGGACGAGGUCGAGGCGCUCGGGGAAGAGGCGGACGGGGCGGCGCGUCAGCUUCACCUCCGCCGGCGGCUCUUCCCCCCACGGCGGUCCAUAUAGGGGACGACCCUUGCGAGUUCUUCGUCAGGCUGCGCCGGGCGCCUCGUCGUCGCCUCCGGCUUCCAGCCCCGUUUGCGCACGCGAUGGAAGUGGAGCCGCCCGAGACGCUGAGACUGCACAUGAGGGGCUGUGGGAUCAGCGGCACGCGAGUCCGCGUUGCAUUCCCAGGCCCUAAUGUGAUGUAUCUUGAUCAAGGGUGGAAGACGUUCGCUCGCAUCCACAGCUUGACGGAGGGGUUUACCCUCCAUUUUAAGUUGAUGGAGGGCGAUCUCCUCUCCGUCAAGGCCUUCGGGUGCUUCGGCACUCGGGCGAAGUGCUGCGUGGAUAGCUCCUCCGAUAGCGAAGGCUCCUCCUCGAGCGAGAGCGACGAGGAGGGGAGCGACAACAACAACGAGGGUAGCGGGCGGCGGAGUAGCGGGUCCGACUAGGCGUCGGGCGCCGCCUUGCGCGGCACCGGCGACUCCAUCAUCCGCGUCGCCGGCUUCUUGAACUCCCCGGGGUCGUCUCCUUGGGCGGCUGGCGUAGGGAGGCUGCGGAAGGGGAAGAGGGCAGGCGACAAGGCCGUCAAGCCGGAGUACAAGGGCGUGGUGCCCUCGACAGCGUGCUGACGUCCCGCCGCCCCGUCUUCGAGCCCCGCUUCCAGCAUCGCCGUCGCCGUCCAGCCUUCGGACGGCCCCCGGGAUGUUCCCUUGGUGUCUUCUGGCACCCGUAGCUCGCCUAGGCACUCCUUUUUCCCUUUUCGCCUCCUUGACCUGCCUCCUGAAAAGGGGGACAGGAAAGGGAUCACCGGCAUCUUAUCUUUUUAAUUUGUAAGCCUUCGGGCCUUAGCUGUAUCUAAAAUCUGUAAUCCUCUCUUUCAUGUUUUUCAUCCUUUAUGGACUGUACCUGAGUGGGAUGUUUUUUAAUGAAAGGGGAUGCUUGCCGGGUUAUUUGUCUCGCGAGUUAAACCCACGCCAAGGGGCAAAUCCUUGGUAUCCCUCAGACAGACAUUUCAUCUCCCGGCAACAGACCCUGCCGCCUUCCCACGUCACUCGACCUUUCUCACGCUUUUGACGGAGGCAGGAACGAGGUGGGUGCGGUCUCCUCGCUUCAUCCCCUUGCUUCUGCGACUACGACCAAACUUGGCCCCGAGAACGAGCCCCAGGGCCUAGAGUCGAGGGAGCACGGCAGUUUCCGGGAAGAAACGUGGUUUCGCAUUCCCCAGUCCAUAAGAGGAUGCAUGAUGAGGGAUGAAAGACUUAUCUGAUAGCGCAGCCCUCGUCAACUCUGGUUUGCCGUGGACGAUUCUUGGCACUCACAGCCCCCGGCGAUACUGGCUUGUCGGGAAGGCUCUUAUCUUCAGCAGAGAACUUCGUCGUUCUCGAUGCCGGCUUCCGGCAAGCUGAUUGCCAGGAAGGCUUUUAUCUUCAGCAGAGAACUUUGACGUUCUCGAUGCCGGCUUCCGGCAAGCUGGUUGCCAGGAAGGCUUUUAUCUUCAGCAGAGAACUUUGACGUUCUCGAUGCCGGCUUCCGGCAAGCUGGUUGCCAGGAAGGCUUUUAUCUUCAGCAGAGAACUUUGACGUUCUCGAUGCCGGCUUCCGGCAAGCUGGUUGCCAGGAAGGCUUUUAUCUUCAGCAGAGAACUUCGUCGUUCUCGAUGCCAGCUUCCGGCAAGCUGAUUGCCAGGAAGGCUUUUAUCUUCAGCAGAGAACUUUGACGUUCUCGAUGCCGGCUUCCGGCAAGCUNNNNNNNNNNNNNNNNNNNNNNNNNNNNNNNNNNNNNNNNNNNNNNNNNNNNNNNNNNNNNNNNNNNNNNNNNNNNNNNNNNNNNNNNNNNNNNNNNNNNNNNNNNNNNNNNNNNNNNNNNNNNNNNNNNNNNNNNNNNNNNNNNNNNNNNNNNNNNNNNNNNNNNNNNNNNNNNNNNNNNNNNNNNNNNNNNNNNNNNNNNNNNNNNNNNNNNNNNNNNNNNNNNNNNNNNNNNNNNNNNNNNNNNNNNNNNNNNNNNNNAUUCCGGCUUCCGGCAAGCUGGUUGCCAGGAAGGCUUUUAUCUUCAGCAGAGAACUUUGACGUUCUCGAUGCCGGCUUCCGGCAAUCUGGUUGCCAGGAAGGCUUUUAUCUUCAACAGAGAACUUUGACGUUCUCGAUGCCGGCUUCCGGCAAGCUGGUUGCCAGGAAGGCUUUUAUCUUCAGCAGAGAACCUUGACGUUCUCGAUGCCGGCUUCCGGCAAGCUAGUUGCCAGGAAGGCUUUUAUCUUCAGUAGAGAACUUUGACGUUCUCGAUGCCGGCUUCCGGCAAGCUGAUUGCCAGGAAGGCUUUUGGCGAAGAACUUCGUUGUUCUUGACACCGGCUCCCGGCAAGAUCGUUGCCGGNNNNNNNNNNAAGGCUUUUAUCUUCAGCAGAGAACUUUGACGUUCUCGAUGCCGGCUUCCGGCAAUCUGGUUGCCAGGAAGGCUUUUAUCUUCAGCAGAGAACUUUGACGUUCUCGAUGCCGGCUUCCGGCAAGCUGAUUGCCAGGAAGGCUUUUAUCUUUAGCAGAGAACUUCGUCGUUCUCGAUGCCGGCUUCCGGCAAGCUGAUUGCCAGGAAGGCUUUUAUCUUCAGCAGAGAACUUUGACGUUCUCGAUGCCGGCUUCCGGCAAGCUGAUUGCCAGGAAGGCUUUUAUCUUCAGCAGAGAACUUUGACGUUCUCGAUGCCGGCUUCCGGCAAGCUGAUUGCCAGGAAGGCUUUUGGCGAAGAACUUCGUUGUUCUUGACACCGGCUCCCGGCAAGAUCGUUGCCGGAAAGGCUUAUGGCAAAGAACUUCGUUGUUCUUGACACCGGCUCCCGGCAAGAUCGUUGCCGGGAAGGCUUAUGGCGAAGAACUUCGUCGUUCUUGACGCCGAAAAGAUUGGCCCUAAGGGCGUUGCCAGCCCCCGGGCCAUAACUGCGUUCAAACAUAGCAAGUGAUUAGCAUCCGAAGUGCACUCAACUUGCUUGCGAAUUUCGACUUUCGCUGCAUAUUCCCUAUGCCUGCUGGAAUGCUUUCCGGUGCGUACGAUCCAGCCAGUAGCGCUUGAGGGAACGGGCCCUUAGCGGCUAUUCGGGAACAACGCCUCCCGGAAAGGUUUACCUUCUUGGUUCUAGCGCAACCGCACAAGUUGCCGAGCAGACUCGAGGCAAUCAUGGAGCGCAACUAGACCCGAGAAGGCUCCUCGGCAUACAGGUCUAUGCAGAAAUCUCAAAUAAAUAGCGCAUGCUAUCUUCCUGUUCAACCCUUCUUUGUACGUCCACCCUACGCUUUCUAGGGAAACUUGCCGGUGCAGGCACCCUUGCCGCGAGCGCCGAGUGCGGAACUUCAGCAGCCUGCUGGCGGGGUUGCUACCGACAAGUAAUCUUGUCGCAACUAGUUGCAGCUCGCUUAAGUUGUUGAGCGGACUCGAAACAAAGUAAGGGCGCUAGCAGCUCACUUAAGUUGCUGAGCGGACUCGAAGCAAAGUAAGGGCGCUAGCAGCUCGCUUAAGUUGUUGAGCGGACUCGAAACAAAGUAAGGGCGCGACUAGCUACGAGUUGAUUCCUCCGCGCACAGGUUUUUCGUACAAAGAACAAGAUCUCCGAGGCGGAUAACCUUAUAUAGAAAGGAAAUAUCUAAAGUUUCGCAUGACUUAACUUUUUCUGUUGCCGCACUGGCGUCGUUCUUUUGCUCGCCCGCUCCUUGGGAGCCAUGACGAUGAAGAUUUAGCUUGCGUGCAUGCCGGAUCGGGUUUGCACGAUCUCGACGCCCCCUACCUGGCGCGCCAGAGAUGUCGGGGGCGAUGCUGAUUCCCGCCAACACCUAUGGGGACAGGGCCCCUUUUCAGUUCGGUGGGGGGCGGAGAGCGCACAAAGAGCGGAUCGAGGCAGUGCACGCGGGCGAUUUUACCCAGCUUCGGGCCGCACGGAUGCGUAAAACCCUACUGCUGCUUGUUUGUGUAUAUUGGAUUCUUGCUCAGGAGUGAUGGACGCUGCCAGACUGAGCUUGAGAGUGUUCCUGGUGUUGAACGAGCUGAACUGCUCGAGCCUCUGAAUUCUCCGGACCCCCUCUACGUUGCGCCCGUGCCUCCUUUUAUACUUUAAAGGGGUCACCGACAGGUGGCAACGUAGACUAGAAGGGUAAAAAUGGAAAAGGAUGCGGUAGGUGCAGCUACCGCUACUGUGGAUACAAUGCACCCUACCUAACUCUGACGGCAGGGGACAAGGGCAUUAAAUGCCUGUCUGAGUCUCCUAAACAGUGCAAAAGGUGACCGUUAGGAGCGCCACCGUUUGCCACGAUGGGCUUCUCUUCAUCUCCGCUUGCCACCACGUACCCCUAGCUGCACGGCCUCCUGCCACGUGUGCUUGGGAGAGUCCCAGGGCGACACGUUAGCAGGUGUGCUGGAGCGCGGGCACGAAGUGGGGGUUUCCCGCGGCAUGCUCCUUGCCGCGGCCGUCGUCUUGUCGCGUCUGGAAGCUUGUCGCUCGCCGGUUCUUGCCGGGACGCAGGGCACGUCGCGGCAAGCUUUCUUGGUAUGUCUUGAGUGGCCUUCCCGGCAAGCUCCUCUUGCCGGGGUCUUGUCUCUUCCCGGCAAGCUCCUCUUGCCGGGGCCUUGGUUGGCCUUCCCGGCAAUCUCCUCUUGCCGGGGCUUUGAUUUGAAUACUUUGUUCUUGAAUGGUCUUCAAGGGAACCACGGAGGGUCCUGGCGGUAACCCGGCAAGCCUUGCCGCGGGGCGCUGCAACUGCCCGUGCACGAGUUCGGGGUAAUAGGGUACCCCUACUCUAGUACACCGACAUGUUACCAUGGCAAUUUAAUUACAAUCGGCACAAUUUUUCUAAGCGCUCUUUUACCAUGAGAAGAUGUUCACAUGUUAAUUUUUUUGUAUUUGUUUUAUCAUACACAUGGAAAAUUUGUAUACAAAAUUAAUUCAUUAAAUCAUGCCAACUCUAGAUGUCUUCCAAUACUUGUUUGAAUUGGGGGUUAGGAACCGAAGGGAGGGGGUAUUUUAUGCCUAAGUAUUUGUAAGUUUCCCAUGAUCCUGGUCAAGAUGUGUUAAGUGCAAACUUUUUUCAAGUUCUCCUUUAUCUCUAACUCUAUAAAUUAGAUGAUGGCACUUUCAUAUAACAUAACAUGGCAAUGUUUACAAACUAGAGCAUGGCAAGUUGUAAAUUUUUGUUUAUGGAAUUUAAAGAAAAAUAGUUAACCUGGCCUAACCCGUUUUCCCCACACGUUGUUUGGGCCAACCCGAGGCUUCUCUGAAAUCCCACUACAUCGAACUUUCUAGAAAGAGGGAAUGGUUCGCUCAAUGGAAUCUCCCUGUAUGACGUUGGACUAGUAUUGAGAUCCAAAAUUAGUACUUCCUCUUAUAUGAUGGGAUGGAGGGAGUACAUACUCGAAAGUACCCUUAUGAGCUCGAAUGAAUAGUAAAAUUGAAAAAAAAAUCAAACAAUUCUGAAUCUUUUUGUGGUAAACUUUGAGAAAGGUUCAAAGUGUUUGAAAAUUUUCAUCAUGAGAUCACAUUCUUGGAAAGCGUAGCAAAAAAGACAAAAUCAGUGCUCCAAAAUGCUUUUGAAAGUAGCAUUUUUGGAGCAUCAAUUUUUUUGUCACGCUUUUCCACGAAUGUGAUCUCAUGAUGAAAAUUUGCAAGCACUUAGAACAUUUGUCAAAAUUUACAAAAAAAUCAGAAUUUUUUGAAUUUUUUCCGAUUCUACUCUUCAUCCGAACUCAUUUGAGCCCGAGCUCUGAUACUCAGCGUCCGUAAAUACCUUGCCUUUUUAGACAAUAGUACAUACCUUGCUCGCAGCGAAAUUCCACGGACUGAGAAUCAGAGUAAAUAGCAGAAAACUACCCAUAUUACGGUUAGGGUUUAAAAAAACUACUUACUUUUUUUCACAAAUACCUACCAACUAUCUGGCUUCUCCUUUUGGAAAACUCGAAGUAACCAACAAUUUUGUUAACGUCUUUAGCUUUUCCUCCCAUAUCCUUGAUGGCUAAGUCAAACUCUCCCUUCCAACCUUUAACGGAAAGACCAUGAAUUCCCCUCUCCUUUGUUUGCCUCUCUGGCGGCCGGUGGCAGGGAGGGGAAUAUGGUGCCUCCGCUCCUGUAAGUAGUAUAGAUUAAGUUAUUUUUGUCCUUGCAGGUGGAUCGUGCGGGCGGAUGGCGCCGUUUCUUCUUCGAGUUUGUCUCUUGGGCUCCGAUCAUCCUUGAGUUCAUCCAUAUGGACGUAAUCGAUGGAGCUACGAUGUAGAUUAUUGACGUUUCCUUAGUACAAUGAGUUUAGGGUUUCUCGCCGCAUGCGAGAUUUUGAUUUCAGAUGCUGCAAAUAUAUUCAAGGGUUCAACGGCGACGACAAUGGAUGUAGGGCAUUUUUUUAACUAUGGGUCAAGGUUACAGGAGUAGCAGUUACAUUUCUACAAGAGAGGUCAUGAGAGUUUUACCAAGGAAAAAAGAGAGGGAGAAAAGAUAGACACUAGCCUAAAAAAUACAGAAAGAAACAAAAGAAGUUCGAGGGUCACUAGUGGCAGGCCGGACACAAGAUACAGAUCUAGGGCAUUAGUCUUAGGGAAACAUGCACAAAGACUCCCGGGUUUUCAUUGAUAAGAUUAAGCCGGCUCCGGUAGAGGAGCAAUGACAACGACGCGACGGUGGCUUGUUCUAGCGAUGGUAGUGGUUGUUUGAUGGUCUCGGAAUCUCGAUGUAAUUUUAUUAUGUUUGAGGUGUUUUGUUCGUCUGUGAACUUUGAUGGAUCAUUUUCAUAAUAAAAAGUGGUAGGUAUUUGCAAAAAAUUUAAAUUAAGUAGUUUUUUGGAACCUUAAUUGUAAUUGUAGUACUGGUGAUUUUAUGCUAUUUACUCCAUGAGUCAAGGCCCACCCAGUCAAAACUCACAGCGGCCAUAUUUUCUUUUGGGAAAGGACCACUAGCCAACCCGUGGAUUCGCCUCCCCUUUGCCUGCUGCUCUAGUGGCUGGUGGUGCGGAGGGAAAUCCCGGUGCCUUGACUCUGGCUAGUAGUUUAGGUUAGGGUCUGUUAGUCCUCAUAGUGGCAAUGCUUUGGCAGAUGGUGGUGCAUCAUCUUCGAGUUGGUCUUCUAGGCUUUGAUCCUCUUCGAAUUAUUCUAUUAGGAUGGAGUCAACGAAGCUCUAGCAUACAUUUCUGUCAUCUCCUUUGGGCGGUGAGGUUAAGGUUUAUCGCCAUACGCGUGCGACUGAAAUAUUUGGUGUCAGGCACUUCAGAUUAAUUCAAGGAUUAAAGGGUUAAACAAUAAUGACCGUGACUCCAAGGCGCUAGUCCUUAGAGGCAUGUGCACGAGGACUUCCCGGUUGUCAUCGAAAAGGUCAGGUCGGCUCCGGUAUUAGAGUGGCGACGACGGAGCAUCAACCACUCGUUCUGGUAAUGGUAGUGGUUGUUCGGUGGUAUAGGAAUCUUGAUAUAAUUUUUAUUAUGUUUGGGACACUUUGUACUUCAUGUGAACUCUCUUAAUAGAUCAAUGCCUUUAAAAAAAUAAACAAGAGUCUUUUUUUUGUCUUUUUAUAUGAGGAGGAACCAGAGUUGCUCGUAGCCAUCCGCCCACAAACACUUAAUUUUCCAGGGCAUCUCCAACGCCGACCCUCAAGAUGUCUGCAAUAGUUCGGACCGCGUUGUAUCGGUCCACCGAUUGGUUGGGACGUGCUCUUUCCCGCAAACUAGAAACAAACUAAUAAGGGAGGGACUUUGCAGGCGUCCGGACUGCCACCACGCCCUCUUCUAACUGCCUUGGCCCACCCAAAAAAACCUUCGUUGCCGGCGCCUCUAUGCGCCCGAAGGCAGCUGCCCGCACUAAUGCAACUCUAGAGCAGCCGCUCUGCAUUGACACCAACCCAGAGCAGACGUGACCUCUCACUGGCAUUGGCAUUGACGUGGCUCACCAGCCAAGGGCACCGCCCGCGCUGCAUCUCUGAUGUCCACGUCUGUUUAAUGCCAGAAAAGACGUUUACCGGACGGGGCAAGAAGGAUAUCUACCACGGCCGUUCAAUGCCUGUCCCUCCAUCUGCCGCCAUUAAAUAGGCCCGCCGGCCGAGAAACCAACUCUCGUGCUUGCUCAUUGAUGCACCCAGACGCUUGGCCUCAGUGGCAUCCACUAUUUAAGGGCAGACACAAUCGGGUCACAUCACACCACAACCCAUCUGCUACACAUCUUCCUCCCAUGCACCACCUCCGCCAUGACUGCGAGCGAGAAUGCUAUGUGAGAGAGAAUGUCGAUGGAGCAGAAGCAUGAGGUCACCGCCCUUGUGUUCUUCAUGCUGGGCGGAUAGAGGCCGACAUGUCGGCUAACUCUCCGGAGGUCUCCGACAACGACCCCACAAUGAACACUAGCUUUGAUGACGGCUCCAUGUCGGAGCCCGCACCGGUGCAUGUCGGCUUGACGAUGGAGCGGGCACACGCGCACUUCAACGCCGCCAUGGCCGAGGAGCAGCCAGCGUCCGCACCUAUGUCGGUCAAGCGUAGGAGGAACAACGCUACAAUCUGAUCCUCCUCGAGCAGCACCGGCUGGCGAAGGGCCAGAUCAACGACGAGCGUGCGAGCGAGAAGGCCAUGGUCACGGUGAACCUCAACUUUGUCGCUGAGCAACAGACGCUCUACGAGGCCGCCCGUGCUCAAGCCGUCGAUCGCAACAUAUAGGCGACACAGCCGGACGUGGAGGUGGCGCUGGCUGCACAUGCGAUCGCGACGAGAACGAUGCCAUCCGUGCGUCCUACAUGUCGCCAAACAAUGUUUGUCCAUGAUGGUGGGGCAACGAGCAUGUAGGUUCCUCCACUUCCGUCGUGGACCUCAUGUCUGUCAGCGACAGACAGGCUGUGAACUCCGACGAGGAUAAGUAGGGCAUGGGAGGCGGUGGGGCUCAAGUCCCAAAUGGGUCGGUCUGUCUCCCAUGUUCUACUCUUCCUCGCCCGUGAUCGCACAUUCACUUUUACAGCUCAUUCUGUGAGUCCACUAACACUAAACAUAUUCUCGUCGUGGAAGAAUAUAUUUCAGAUUAAAAGUAGGACGCUGAUAUCCACCACACAUGUGGCAUCUAGGGGCUAUGUGUCGCACGCCCCGUGUGGCAUCGACAUAGGCCCGCCCGCACGAGCACGUACGGGCACACCUCGUCACAGCCCGCACGUCUGGUGUACUCGUGGAUCGCCCACAUGUCCAUGCGAGCGACCCCGCGGCAUGCACAACCAAAAUCCGUCUCCCGACUGUCGUCCCUCCCCGCCUACUAGCCAGAGUAGCCACCAUCGGUCAUCUCCAACCUCCGGAUCAGCAAAUCUUCCCCUACCUCCAUCCUCCUCCCUCUCUGAGGGGGUCCUGGAUUCGGGGGUCCUCAGGUGUCCGGCCUAUUCGGUAUGGGUCGGGCUGAUGGGUCGUGAAGACGAAGCAGAAGAUCACCUCCUGUGUCCGGGUAGGACUCCUAUGUGUGUAGGUCGGCAAGUUUGGUGUUCGAGUGUUAUGUUUCCUUCCUCUACAAACCGACUCUGUACAAACCUAGGCCCCUCUGGUGUGUAUAUAAACCGAAGGGUUUAGUCCGUAGAGGCUAUUAGAAUAACACUACAAAAAAUACACUUCUAUGAUGAUAUGUGUUUGUCACAGUAGGUCACGUUUUUUGUCAUGCUUGUACAUCCAUGACGAUUUUAUGACAGAAUCAAGAUAGUCAUACCUGUGCUGUCGUAGAAGUGUUCCAUGACAUUACCAAAAUUAUCAUCAUGGAAAUGUCCACUUCCAUGAUGAUAAAUGACGCGUCAUGGAAGUGCUUUCGUCAAGGGUGACCGACACAUGGCAUCCACCGUAACGGAUAGCUGUUAAGCUAUCGGGUCCGGUUUCGGAUCCGAUAACCCCUUAACAGCCCAGACCAAUGGGUAUUUUCCGCGUGUAAAAUUCUCAUUGGCCGGAGGAAACACAUGUUGGCUCACCGUUGGGAUAGAUGUCAUCCACUCAUUGAACAGGAGGCGCCUAUGAUACGUCGACACGUGGCACGGCCCAACAGUGGCCCAUUCUGGUGAAAAAGGCCGGCCUAGUAAAAAUUAGCAGGCCGGCCCAUAUAAGGCCUACUUGUGUCAAGUCCAUUUAAGCCAACGGCCCAUACGAGAUGUGCCAAUCGGCCUGUCAAUGGCCCGUUAAUGAUUUGACACCAUUGCAGUCCAUCGUCAGUUCGAGCCCGUUAACAACCCGCUAUAUAUUUGGGCUCAGUAUCGUCCAGAUGUGGUUUCGGCUUGUUAACGGCGCAUUCAAGGGAUGGGCCAAUUUUCAGGAUGUAUGUCUUUCGGCCUUUUAGCGAUCCAUUUAAGUGUUGGGCCAAUUUUCGGCCUGUUGUGUCUUUCAGCCUCUUGACGUUCCAUAAAUGAGUUGGGCCAUUUGCAUUCGGACCUGAGUUUUGGCCUUUCAACGGCCCAUGGUCUUCAUGGUCCAAUACCAACCCAUUUUCUCUUUCGGCCUGCUAAAGGCCCACAACACAGUUGGGCCAUAUACAGUACGACCUGACUUUGGGCCUCUUAGCGGCCCAUGCUCUUCAUGGUCCAGUACGAGCUCGUUGUCUCUUUCGGCCUGCUAAAGGCCCACAGUAUAGUUGGGCCAUAUAUAGCAUGACCUUAGUAUCGGCCUAUGCAAUCAAAUGGGCCCACCUGUUUCCUUCUUCGAUGUCGGCUUGUUAAUGACCCGGGAGGUAACAUGGCCGACCAUGAACUUUUGGCCUCGUAACGGCCCAUUAACUUAAUGGCCCACCAAAGUUCGAACAUGUCUGUAUUCCCAAUUAGAUAAUUUGAGUCCAUUAUGACGAGUAAUUAUGCACAUGACCAAAAUCGAUCAAUCAAAGGCCUAUGAGAAUUUUGGCCCCUGCGAGCCCAUUAGGGAAGCUCAUUAAGGGCAGUGGGCUGAUUCCUUCAUAUAGGGCCCAUGACUGUUCGUGCUAACUAAUAAUUUCACUGCUUUUUUAGCUUCCUAGCGACCAUUUAGCUCGAAUGCGAGGCGCGCUAAGCAAAGGUAUGGCAUACAGGGAAAAACGUUGCACAUCCAACAUAUAUUACAGGAAAUUGCAUCCAUUGGGCAAUCAAAGAUUGAUGCCAAUGCAAAUAAAUGAACAUAACCAAAUGACCUACAACGUCACAAUCUGCAACCUCAGCGCGGAUGACGCCCAUAAGCAUGUGGGCAAGUUCUUCCUGCUUUGCUACACUGUCUCUGAAAACAUUGAUCAGUUGUUGUUGCACAAGAAUGUGCACCUCUGAUUCCUCCACCAUUUCCAUCAUUGCUUCAGCCAGUAAUUGGUUCACAAACAUACAUUUUUUUCAUUGAAUUCGAGACAAAGGAAACUGAACAGAUCCAGAUGGCGAUUUUGGCAGCCUUGUAUUAUUGAUAGUGGAGAGUGUCUCGACCACUGCAUCAUAAUAUAAAUUAGGAGGGGAACCGAACAGAUUAAUGAAGAGUUGUUGCCAUAUCACCUGGCCUAGAUUUAUUGGAAAGAAACAAUGGGGUUGCCUUGCUGUUUUUAGAGUUUAUCUUCUUAUCUUUAGCAGCCUGCACCAAAUUAACACACUAGCAUUGCUAUCAUUGGCCAGGUCAGAUAAUAGGAAAGCAACAUUAAUACAACGAAUGUUUGGGCAACCAGACCACACCAGCCUACACCAAAUUAACACACUAUGGCACAACUAUCAUCAGCCAGGUAAGGUAAUAUGAAAGCAACAUUGACACAAUGAAUGAAUGGGCAACCAGAGCAGCACUACAAUUCAAUAAUGUGCAUGAUAUGAGAUAGUACACUCAUGUAGCUCAGUAUGCAAAACUACCAGGAAGUUUUACUUACAAAAAUCAACAUUGUCGCCUUUAAUUAUACAUUUUGCUACAACUAAAUUUAGAUCAGAUAAAGGCUGGAUUCACGCCGGUUAACAAAAUACAUGUUGAUGUAAAAAUAUAGUGAUAUACAACAUGUACUUACAUCAGCAUUGGAGCACGGAGAAUUCCUGCAAGAUACUUUCCUCGAAUACGAUCCCAGUACAUAAAGUCUUCUAUCCUUUAAGCUUACUUUCUAAAAGAGAGAUGGGUAAGAAACAUGUAGAAAAUAUGAUCAGAAUGCUAUAAAAUUUCAUGAUGCGAGGAUACGCACACACUUCUUAGAAUGGAGUUGACAUGUUUUUGCUGGACUGGAGCAGAUUAGUUCUUUGGCCACUAGAAUCUGCUUAUUGUCAGUAGGAGUUGGGUUUCUCUGUGCUGGAGCAGUAUCUAUGAAAACUGGAGUUGGUUUACUAUCUCUGGCAUUUGGAUCUUUUGCAAAGACUUGGUUUGUAACUGAUGUCUACUACACAACCUUCUUCUUGUAGACGUUGUUGGGCCUCCAAGUGCAGAGGUUUGUAGGACAGUAGAAAAUUUCCCUCAAGUGGAUGACCUAAGGUUUAUCAAUCCGUGGGAGGCGUAGGAUGAAGAUGGUCUCUCUCAAACAACCCCGCAACCAAAUAACAAAGAGUCUCUUGUGUCCCCAACACACCGAAUACAAUGGUAAAUUGUAUAGGUGCACUAGUUCGGUGAAGAGAUGGUGAUACAAGUGCAAUAUGGAUGGUAGAUAAAGGUUUUUGUAAUCUGAAAAUAUAAAAUAGCAAGGUAACUAAUGAUAAAAGUGAGUGUAAACAGUAUUGCAAUGCUAGGAAACAAGGCCUAGGGUUCGUACUUUCACUAGUGCAAGUUCUCUCAACAAUAAUAACAUAAUUGGAUCAUAUAACUAUCCCUCAACAUGCAACAAAGAGUCACUCCAAAGUCACUAAUAGCGGAGAACAAACGGAGAGAUUAUGGUAGGGUAUGAAACCACCUCAAAGUUAUUCUUUCCGAUCGAUCUAUUCAAGAGUUCGUACUAGAAUAACACCUUAAGACACAAAUCAACCAAAACCCUAAUGUCACCUAGACACUCCAAUGUCACCUCAAGUAUCCGUGGGUAUGAUUAUACGAUAUGCAUCACACAAUCACAGAUUCAUCUAUUCAACCAACACAAAGAACUUCAAAGAGUGCCCCAAAGUUUCUACCGGAGAGUCAAGACGGAAACGUGUGCCAACCCCUAUGCAUAAGUUCACGAGGUCACGGAACUCGCAAGUUGAUCACCAAAACAUACAUCAAGUGGAUCAUGUGAUAUCCCAUUGUCACCAUAGAUAAGCACAUGCAAGACAUACAUCAAGUGUUCUCAAAUCCUUAAAGACUCAAUCCGAUAAUAUAACGUCAAAGGGAAAACUCAAUUCAUCACAAGAGAGUAGAGGGGGAGAAACAUCAUAAGAUCCAAAUAUAACAGCAAAGCUCGCGAUACAUCAAGAUCGUGCCGACUCAAGAACACGAGAGAGAGAGAGAGAGAGAGAGAGAGAUCAAGCACAUAGCUAUUGGUACAUACCCUCAGCCCCGAGGGUGAACUACUCCCUCCUCGUCAUGGAGAGCGCCGGGAUGAUGAAGAUGGCCAUUGGAGAGGGAUUCCCCCUCCGACGGGGUGCCGGAACGGGUCUAGAUUGGUUUUCGAUGGCUACGGAGGCUUGUGGCGGCGGAACUCCCGAUCUAGGUUUCUUUCUGGAAGUUUUGGGUUGUAUAAGAGGUGUUAGAGUCGGGAACAAGGCAGGGGGCGCGCCUAGGGGGUGGGCGCGCCCCCCACCCUCAUGGGUAGCCCGGGACUCUUCUGGCCCAACUUUUUUUUACUUCGUAUUCUUCUUCUGGUCCAAAAAUAAGUUUCGUGAAGUUUCAGUUCAAUUGGACUCCGUUUGGUUUUCCUUUUCUGUGAUACUCAAAAACAACGAAAAAACAGAAACUGGCACUGGGCUCUAGGUGAAUAGGUUAGUCCCAAAAAUCAUAUAAAAUAGCAUAUAAAUGCAUAUAAAACAUCCAAGUUUGAUAAUAUAAUAGUAUGGAACAAUAAAAAAUUAUAGAUACAUUGGAGACGUAUCAAGCAUCCCCAAGCUUAAUUCCUGCUCGUCCUCUAGUAGGUAAAUGAUAAAAACAGAAUUUUUGAUGUGGAAUGCUACCUAACAUAUUUAUCAAUGUAAUCUUCUUUAUUGUGGCAAGAAUAUUCAGAUCCAUAAGAUUCAAGACAAAAGUUUAAUAUUGACAUAAAAAUAAUAAUACUUCAAGCAUACUAACUAAGCAAUUAUGUCUUCUCAAAAUAACAUGGCCAAAGAAAGCUUAUCCCUACAAAAUCAUAUAGUUUGGCUAUGCUUCAUUUUCGUCACACAAAAAUGCUCUCAUCAUGUACAACCCCGAUGACAAGCCAAGCAAUUGUUUCAUACUUUAGUAAUCUCAAACUUUUUUCAACUUUCACGCAAUACAUGAGCGCGAGCCAUGGAUAUAGCACUAUGGGUGGAAUAUAAUAUAAUGAUGGGGGUUGUGUGGAGAAGACAAAAAGGAGAAAGUAUCACAUUGACGCGGCUAAUCAACGGGCUAGGGAGACACCCAUCAAUUGAUGUCAAUGCAAGGAGUAGGGAUUGCCAUGCAACGGAUGCACUAGAGCUAUAAAUGUAUGAAAGCUCAACAAAAGAAACUAAGUGGGUGUGCAUCCAACUUGCUUGCUCACGAAGACCUAGGGCAUUUGAGGAAGCCCAUUGUUGGAAUAUACAAGCCAAGUUCUAUAAUGAAAAAUUCCCACUUAAUAUAUGAAAGUGACGACAUAAGAGACUUUCUAUCAUAAAGAUCAUGGUGCUACUUUGAAGCACAAGUGUGGAAAAAGAGGAUAGUAGCAUUGUCCCUUUUUAUUUUGUCGGAGUAAUUGGACACGGAUACCCCGAAGACGGCGAGACAAUAAAUCAAGACAUCAGGGCUAGCAAAGCCCCUCAGUCCGACUGCCCGGCCGCUCCUGCCGGCUCCCUGUCCGACUGCUCUGCCCGGCCGGCUACCGGCUGCCGACUGCGCCAACCAGCCGGCUGCCGACUACAGCCUGACGUGACCCUGACAGGACGGCCAUACCGCGGACAAGACAUCUAUACCGCGACGCCAUCAUCUACAGUGUACCUGUCCCCUUGGCACUAUUCUAUAAAGUGCCUAGAGGACAAGCUUGACAUGCACCAUGCCCCAUGCAUGGCUUGGCUUGUAAGCUACCCAAGGUAGCUUACAACCAACGUCAUGUCCCAUGCCCAGUACACACUAUAUAUAGCUAGCUCCAUCCAUCCAUCAGAGGAUGGACUCACACACUCACGCAUACACACAAGCUAGCUAGCUAGCAAGAGAGCUAGCUAGCAAUCCAUCCAUCCACUCCUACGGGCAAGCAUGCCCAAGCACACCUAUUCGGCCAAGAGCAACGGCCACCAUGCCACAUGCAUAUACGAGGCCAGAUGCCUAUGGCACUGACCUCAGAUACAACUCCAGGAGCAUUCUGUACCAGAUAUAUCACAUAUACUCAGACAUGCAGGAGUAGGGGUGUUAUCUCUCCGGAGAGCCCCGAACCUGGGUAAACUAGCGCGUGAUACUCGCAUACCCGUCCCUGGAUAUUCCGGCAGCAGUCUUGCCCUCACACGAAGCCACCUUGUGGCAUAUGUCGUCUUGCACCCCCCGUGAGAAUACCACGACAUUUGGCGCCCACCGUGGGGCGGUACUAUGCUACCGCGCUGCUGCUGGUUUCGCAGUCCGGGCGGGACCAUCUUCGUCAUCACCGCGGCAUCGCCGUUGUCUCUCCGGUAGCACUCGGGGGCCCGACAUCGACGCGCCCUCGGAGCGGCCGCGAGGGGCGGCACGUCCUCGCCAUCGGCCUCUUCAUCAUCACCACCGCAACGCCGGCCGUCCGUGCCUCGCUUCGGUCGGCCGCAUCCGUGCACGCGUCGUGCCGCGUCGCUCGCGUCUGCUCCUCUGUGCAUUGUGCCUUGCUCCGGCCGAAAAGCGCGUUUGCCACUCCAUAUAUCAUCCAUACAAGCUAGCUAGAUGCAAGUCAAACUGUGAUCAAAUGUUAGCCAUACACUGGUUAUACAUGCCUCGUACGCUUCCUGUACCAUGGCCAUGCGCCACCAAAACCAUGCCCAGAUAUUCCCCAGAUAAUAGUCACAUAAUCCCCAUAUAAUCCACUGCUUGUACACUGACCGGAUACUAGUCAGAUAUCCAUCAGAGAACGCCCAGACUAUAGCGCUGCUCGUUGCUCCUGCCACCCCGCGUGCCUGGCUCAUCGUCCUCGCGCGGCUCCGGCCUCCUCCGCGUUCGGCCUGCCCGACCCGCGCUGUGCCCUGCAUCCGGCUCCGCGCCUCCGUCAUGGCUGCGCCGGCUCGCCUGGCCAUCCACUCAGUCUCCACGUGCCUGCCCGGGUCGCCACUGUGGCCACCCGCGCACCGGCUCCGUCUCCCACGUGGACCGGGUCGCCCCUGUCGUGUCCCGCGCCGGCCGGGUCCUCUGCUGCCGGGUCCGACUCCUCCCGCGUCUGCGCCGUCUAGCGCUGGGUCUGGCUCCGCGCCCGCCUUGCCACUCGUCGGCUCGCCUCCCGCCGCCUCCGUCUGCAGCGCCGGGUUCGGCCCCGUCCGCUGGAGUCCUCCGACCCGGCCGCGCCGGCUUCCUCGCAACCCGGCCUGCCGGCUUCGCCCCGAGCCGGCUUCCUACCCACUCGGCACGCCGGCUCCACCCGCAUCGGCUACCCGGCCGGCCUUGCCGCCUGCCAUCUUCCCAGCGACCCGACCGCUUGCCGGCUCUGCCCGCAACCCGGCGACCCGUCCGCGCCGACUUCCUCGCAACCCAGCCUGCGGGCUUCUGCUGUGCCUCGGCCGCUGGCUUCCCCGCAACCCGGUGCCGGCUUCUGCCGCGCCCCGGCUAUCGGUUUCAGCCGCGUCCCGCUCCUGCCUGCUGCUCAUGCAAAGAAAGAAAGAAAAAGAGAGAAGGGGCCGGCUGGAAAGAGUUUCCGGGUUUAAAAAAAAGGAAGAAGAGCUGUGUCUGACUGCUCAAGGUCGGCUGGCAAAAAAAAAUGGAGUGAGAUGCCGGCAGGAAAGAAGCAAAGGCCGAGUGCCUAGCCGACUAAGAGAAAGAAAAGAGUGGCCGGUUGGAUAUAAAAAAAGAGAAAAAAAGGGAAAGAUCUGACUGCGCAGACUGCUGCCCAGCCGACUGCUUUGUUUGACCGACCGCGUCACCGCUCGGCUGGCCGGUUCAUCUGCCUGUUUCGCUGCCUGGCCGACUGAUGAGCCGAUCCGGCUACGCACAGCCGGCUGACGAGGAGAAGAGAAGAACAAAGUAGUCGCCGGGAGAUCCGGCCCGACUGCUCGGCAGUCGGUCCAAAUCUCGGGGGCUACACCUAGCGGGUGCGCCGACGCGUAGCCGCGCCGGCUGUCUUCGACGACCUCUGCCGCGACUACACGAAAAUCUAUGUGAGCUCCUCACCCGCAUAUUUUUGCAUCACGCAAGCACGGUUAACCCCGAACGAUGCUCGGGGGGCUAUCUCCGCAUUUUUAUUACAGUUGCACCACUGUUCGCCCCGGUGCCAGCCAGAGUUGGCCCGGGGCUGACCGCUUGGCCUAAGAUGUUUUUCCCGCAGACGGCUUAGUAGCGUGUGGAGUACCAAAGGCCAACCUCUCAGCCACAGACCGCAGAGCGGCUGUCCGGCUAGCGAGAGCAAAAGCUGGAGGUCAUCCCACGUGAAAAAACGUCGGGGAAGAGAAACGCUUCGGGGGACCCAACCGUUUCCUUUAUGAGUAUCUGCUCGGUUAAAUCCACUCCCAGAGUCCGAGUACUGUACACUCCACUUUGCGGCCCACUCUCAGCCACAGACCGCAGAGCGGCUGUCCGGCGAGCAGGAGCACAAGCCAAAAAGCGGAGGGAACACGAAAAAGAUUAAGGGGGCUCGAACGAAACCGAGUCGGCACCCUCCGCAUAAAACUUGCAAUGCUAAAAGCAAACAUUAGAUAUAUCUGCGUUGACUAACUUUGUCUUUUUUAUGAUCAUUUCCAUGAACACUCGCCAAAAAACCUCCGCCCAACUUUGCCAAGUUGCCCGGAGGCUUGGGGGCUACUGUCGGAGUAAUUGGACACGGAUACCCCGAAGACGGCGAGAUAAUAAAUCAAGACAUCGGGGCUAGCAAAGCCCCUCAGUCCGACUGCCCGGCCGCUCCUGCCGGCUCCCCGUCCGACUGCUCUACCCGGCCGGCUACCGACUGCAGCCUGACGCGACCCCGACAGGACGGCCAUACCGCGGACGAGACAGCUGUACCGCGAUGCCAUCAUCUACAGUGUACCUGUCCCCGUGGCACUAUUAUACAAAGUGCCUAGGGGACAAGCUUGACAUGCACCAUGCCCCAUGCAUGGCUUGGCUUGUAAGCUACCCAAGGUAGCUUACAACCAACGCCAUGUCCCAUGCCCAGUACACACUAUAUAUAGCUAGCUCCAUCCAUCCAUCAGAGGAUGGACUCACACACUCACGCACACACACACAAGCUAGCUAGCUAGCAAGAGAGCUAGCUAGCAAUCCAUCCAUCCACUCCUACGGGCAAGCAUGCCCAAGCACACCCAUUCGGCCAAGAGCAAUGGCCACCAUGCCACAUGCAUAUACGAGGCCAGAUGCCUAUGGCACUGACCUCAGAUACAACUCCAGGAGCACUCUGUACCAGAUAUACCACAUAUACUCAGACAUGCAGGAGUAGGGGUGUUAUCUCUCCGGAGAGCCCCAAACCUGGGUAAACUAGCGCGUGAUACUCGCAUACCCGUCCCUAGAUAUUCCGGCAGCAGUCUUGCCCUCACACGAAGCCACCUUGUGGCAUAUGUCGUCUUGCACCCCCCGUGAGAAUACCACGACAUAUUUAUUAUUAUUUUUUUGGGCCUUCUUUUUUUAUUUGGCCUUUCUAUUUUUUGGGACAAUGCUCUAUUAAUGAUGAUCAUCACACUUCUAUCUAUUUACAACUCAAUGAUUACAACUCGAUACUAGAACAAGAUAUGACUCUAUAUGAAUGCUUCGGGCGGUGUACCGGGAUAUGCAAUGACUCAUGAGUGACAUGUAUGCAAUAAUUAUGAACGGUGUCUUUGCCACAAAUACGAUGUCCACUACAUGAUCAUGCAAGGCAAUAUGACAAUGAUGAUGUGUGUCAUAAUAAAUGGAACGGUGAAAAGUUGCAUGGCAAUAUAUCUCAGAAUGGCUAUGGAAAUGCCAUAAUAGGUAGGUACGGUGGCUGUUUUGAGGAAGAUAUAAGGAGGUUUAUGUGUGAUAGAGCGUAUCGUAUCACGGGAUUUGGAUGCACCGGCGAAGUUUGCACCAACUCUCAAGGUGAGAAAGGGCAAUGCACGGUACCGAAGAGGCUAGCAAUGAUGGAAGGGUGAGAGUGCGUAUAAUCCAUGGACUCAACAUUAGUCAUAAAGAACUCACAUACUUACUACAAAAAUCUACAAGUCAUCAAAAACCAAUUAUUAUGUGCAUGCUCCUAGGGGGAUAGAUUGGUAGGAAAAGACCAUCGCUGGUCCCCGACCGCCACUCAUAAGGAAGACAAUCAAAUAACACCUCAUGUUUCAAAUUUGUUACACAACAGUUACCAUACGUGCAUGCUACGUGACUUGCAAACCUCAACACAAGUAUUUAUCAAUUUCACAAUUACUCAACUAGCACGACUCUAAUAUCACCGUCUUUAUAUCUCAAAACAAUUAUCAAGUAUCAAACUUCUCAUAUUAUUCAAUGCACUUUAUAUGAAAGUUUUUAUUAUAUCACUCUUGGAUGCCUAUCAUAUUAGGACUAGUUUCAUAACCAAAGCAAACUACCAUGAUGUUCUAAAGACUCUCAAAAUAAUAUAAGUGAAGCACGACAGUUCAUCUAUUUCUUCAAAAUAAAACCACUGCCGUGCUCUAAAAAAAUAUAAGUGAAGCACUAGAGCAAAAGACAAACUACUCCGAAAGAUAUAAGUGAAGAUCAAUGAGUAGUCGAAUAAUUAUGCAACUAUGUGAAGACUCUCUAACUUUUAAUUAUUUAAGAUCUUGGUAUUUUAUUCAAACAACAAGCAAAACAAAAGAAAAUAAAAUGAUGCUCCAAGCAAAACACAUAUCAUGUGGUGAAAAAAAUAUAGCUCCAAGUAAAGUUACCGAUGAACGAAGACGAAAGAGGGGAUGCCUUCCGGGGCAUCCCCAAGCUUAGGCUCUUGGUUGUCCUUGAAUAUUACCUUGGGGUUCCUUGGGCAUCCCCAAUCUUAGGCUCUUGCUACUCCUUAUUCCAUAGUCCAUCGAAUCUUUACCCAAAACAUGAAAACUUCACAACACAAAACUUAACAGAAAACUCGUAAGCUCCGUUGGUAUAAGAAAAUAAAUCACCACUUAGGUACUGUUGUGAACUCAUUCUAAAUUAAUAUUGGUGUAAUAUCUACUGUAUUCCAACUUAUCUAUGGUUCAUACCCUCCGAUACUACUCAUAGAUUUAUCAAAAUAAGCAAACAACACAAUGAAAACAGAAUCUGUCAAAAAUAGAACAGUCUGUAGUACUCUGGAUCAAACGUAUACUUCUGGAACCCCAAAAAUUCUAAAAUAAAUUUCUGGACGUGAGGAAUUUAUCUAUUAAUCAUUUUCAAAAAUAAUUAGAUAAAUAGCACUCUCCAAUAAAAAAUGGCAGCAAUUCUCGUGAGCACUAAAGUUUCUGUUUUUUAUAGCAAGAUCAAAAAGACUUUCCCCAAGUCUUCCCAACGGUUCUACUUGGCACAAACACUAAUUAAACACAAAAACACAACCAGAACAGAGGUUAGAUAAAUUAUUUAUUACUAUGCAGGAGCAAAAAGCAAAGAACAAAAAUAAAAUUGGGUUGCCUCCCAACAAGCGCUAUCGUUUAACGCCCCUAGCUAGGCAUGAUGAUUACGAUGAUGCUCACAUAAAGGAUAAGAAUUGAAACAUAAAGAGAGAAUCAUGAAGAAUAUGACUAGCACAUUUAAGUCUAACCCACUUCCUAUGCAUAGGUAUUUUGUGAACAAACAACUUAUGGGAACAAUAAUCAACUAGCAUAGGAAGGCAAAACAAGCAUAACUUUAAAACUUUAUGCACAUAGAGAGGAGACUUGAUAUUAUUGCAAUCCCUACAAGAAUAUGUUACUCCCUCAUAAUAAUUUUCAGUAGCAUCAUGAAUUAAUUCAACAAUAUAACCAUCACAUAAAGCAUUCUUUUCAUGAUCUACAAGCAUAUAAAAUUUACUACUCACCACAUAAGCAAAAUUCUUCUAAUUCAUAAUAGUGGGAGUAUCAUAAGAAACUCGAAUACUAUAAAUUGUUUCCACAUUAAAAGACUAAUGUUCAGAAAAAGGGUGAUCAUAAUCAUGACAAGUUUUAUAAAUAUAAUCAUCACUACUUUUUAUAGCAUAAGUGUCAUCACAAUAAUCAUCAUAAGUAGCAACUUUGUUCUCAUCAUAAUCAAUUGAAACCUCUUCCAAGAUAGUGGAAUCAUUACUAAAUAAAGUCAUGAACUCUCCAAACCCACUUUCAUAAUUAUCACAAUAAGAUUCAACACCCUCCAAAAUAGUGGGAUCAUUACUUCCUAAAGUUGACACUCUUCCAAACCCACUUUCAUCAAUAUAACCAUCAUACAUAAGAGGCAUGCUAUCAUCAUAAUAAAUUUUCUCAUAAAAACUUGGGAGACUAAAAAUAUCAUCUUCAUCAAACAUAGCAUCCCCAAGCUUGGGACUUUUCAUAUCAUAAGCAUAAUCACUCUCAUCAUUAAUAGUAUGGAUAGCACCAAUAGUAUAACAAUUAUCAUCAUCACAAUGAGUAAUAGGAGCAACAUUAUUUGGCAAGGAUACAUUUUUACCUUUGCUUCUCCGUCUUUUCUUUUUAUUCUUCACAUCAUGUGUGGGUUUUAUCCUCUUUUCGGAGCUCCUUAAUAAUGAUAUUGGUUGAAUAGGAGGCUCCUCCUCGUUACCUGAUUCAUCAUAAGAAAUAAUAGGAGAAUAUUGGGAAGUCUCUUUCCUUUCAUUAUUAUUCUUUUCAUCUUCUAUUUGUUUUCUUGUCUUUAUGUAAUUGGCAAUAUAAGGAUUUUCAAUGCAAUUCACCGCACAAUACAUACAAAUUUCUUCUAGAUCAAAAUCAAGAAAUCUAUCAAGAUUAAAUUUUGGAAUACCCUCAGUUAUAUGUUUCAUUUCUUCAUACCCCAAAAGAAGACUAAGCUCUUUAUGAUGCUCAAGGGUAAUCAAGUUAUCACAAUUUUUGGACAUGAUUUGAUCAUGAAACAAAUAGCAUUGGAGCUUUAAAUGACCAUGUUCAUUGCAAAGUUCACAAGGAUGGCAAUAAAUAUUGAAUCUUUCAGCAAAAUCAUCUAGCCUUUCUUGGAACCAUUUAGUUUCCAAAUACUUAUGCCUCUUGCAAAAUCUAUCUUCCCUAUUUGGUGUGUACUUGCAAGCUCUAUGUCCACAAAAGUUGACAUGCUUAUAAGAGCCAUUUUCAUCAUGACUAGUGCAAUCAUCAUUAGUACUAUGGAUAUUCAAAGAAUUCAUACUAACAACAUUGCAAUCAUGCUCAUCACAAUUUUUAGUGCCAAACAUUUUAAUGCAUUCUUCUUCUAGAAUUUUGGCACAAUUAUCGGAAUCCUUAUUUUCAUAAAAGACAUUAAAAAGAUGAAGCAUAUGAGGUACCCUCAAUUCCAUUUUUUGUGAUUUUAUUUGAUAGACUAAACUAGUGAUAAAACAAGAAACAAAAAGAUUCGAUUGCAAGUUCUAAAGAUAUACCUUCAAGCGCUAACCUCCCCGGCAACGGCACCAGAAAAUAGCUUGAUUUCUACUACACAACCUUCUUCUUGUAGACGUUGUUGGGCCUCCAAGUGCAGAGGUUUGUAGGACAGUAGAAAAUUUCCCUCAAGUGGAUGACCUAAGGUUUAUCAAUCCAUGGGAGGCGUAGGAUAAAGAUGGUCUCUCUCAAACAAACCUGCAACCAAAUACCAAAGAGUCUCUUGUGUCCCCAACACACCCAAUACAAUGGUAAAUUGUAUAGGUGCACUAGUUCGGCAAAGAAAUGGUGAUACAAGUGCAAUAUGGAUGGUAGAUAAAGGUUUUUGUAAUAUGAAAAUAUAAAAACAGCAAGGUAACUAAUGAUAAAAGUGAGCGUAAACGGUAUUGCAAUGCUAGGAAACAAGGCCUAGGGUUCAUACUUUCACUAGUGCAAGUUCUCUCAACAAUAAUAACAUAAUUGGAUCAUAUAACUAUCCCUCAACAUGCAACAAAGAGUCACUCCAAAGUCACUAAUAGCGGAGAACAAACGAAGAGAUUAUGUUAGGGUAUAAAACCACCUCAAAGUUAUUCUUUCUGAUCGAUCUAUUCAAGAGUUCGUACUAGAAUAACAUCUUAAGACACAAACCAACCAAAACCCUAAUGUCACCUCAAGUAUCCAUGGGUAUGUUUAUAUGAUAUGCAUCACACAAUCUCAGAUUCAUCUAUUCAACCAACAAAAAGAACUUCAAAGAGUGCCCCAAAGUUUCUACCGGAGAGUCAAGACGAAAACGUGUGCCAACCCCUAUGCAUAAGUUCACAAGGUCGCGUAACUCGCAAGUUGAUCACCGAAACAUACAUCAAGUGGAUCACGUGGUAUCCCAUUGUCACCACAGAUAAGCACAUGCAAGACAUACAUCAAGUGUUCUCAAAUCCUUAAAGACUCAAUCCGAUAAGAUAACAUCAAAGGGAAACCUCAAUUCAUCACAAGAGAGUAGAGGGGGAGAAACAUCAUAAGAUCCAAAUACAAUAACAAAGCUCGCGAUACAUCAAGAUCGUGCCGACUCAAGAACACGAGAGAGAGAGAGAUCAGGCACAUACCUACUGGGACAUACCCUUAGCCCCGAGGGUGAACUACUCCCUCCUCGUCAUGGAGAGCGCCGGGAUGAUGAAGAUGGCCACCGGAGAGGCAUUCCCCCCUCCGGCAGGGUGCCGGAGCGGGUCUAGAUUGGUUUUCGGUGGCUACGGAGGCUUCUGGAGGCGGAACUCUCGAUCUAGGUUUCUUUCUGGAAGUUUUGGGUUAUAUAAGAGGUGUUGGAGUCGGGAACAAGGCUGGGGGGGUAUCCGGGCUGUCCACGAGGUAGGGGGCAUGCCCAGGGGGCGUGGGCGCUCUUUUACUCCGUAUCCUUCUUCUGGUCCAAAAAUAAGUUUCGUGAAGUUUCAGGUCAAUUGGACUCCGUUUGGUAUUCCUUUUCUGCGAUACUCUGAUACGCCCAUUUUGCAUCAUCCUUUUAUAUCGAUAUUUAUUGCAUUAUGGGCUAUUAUUACACAUUAUGUCACAAUACAUAUGCCUAUUCUCUCUUAUUUUACAAGGUUUACAUAAAGAGGGAGAAUGCCUGCAGCUGGGAUUCUGGGCUGGAAAAGGAGCAAAUAUUAGAGACCUAUUCUGCACAGCUCGAAAAGUCCUAAAACUUCACAGAAGAUGUUUUCCAAAUAUAUAAAAAAAUACUGAGAGCAAGAACUUCACCAGGGGGGCCACACCCUACCCACGAGGGUGGGGGGCGCGCCCUACCCCCUACCUCGUGGCCCCCCUGGUGGCCCUCCGGUGGCCAUCUUUUGCUAUAUGGAGUCUUUCAAUGGGAAAAAAAUCAUAAGCCAUCUUCUCGGACGAAACUCCGCCGCCACGAGGCGGAACCUUGGCGGAACCAAUCUAGGGCUCUGGCGGAGCUGUUCUGCCGGGGAAACUUCCCUCCCGGAGGGGGAAAUAAUCGCCAUCGUCAUCACCAACGCUCCUCUCAUCGGGAGAGGACAAUCUCCAUCUCAUCUCAAAACCCUAUUUCAUCUCUUGUAUCCAAUUCUUGUCUCCAAGUCCGGGAUUGGUGCUAGUAGGUUGCUAGUAGUGUUAAUUACUCCUUGUAGUUGAUGCUAGUUGGUUUAAUUGGUGGAAGAUCAUAUGUUCAGAUCCUAUAUGCAUAUUAAUACCCCUCUGAUUAUGAACAUGUGUAUGCUUUGUGAGUAGUUACUUUUGUUCCUGAGGACAUGGGAGAAGUUUUGCUAUUAGUAGUCAUGUGAAUUUGGUGUUCGUUCGAUAUUUUGAUGAGAUGUAUGUUGUCUCUCCUCUAGUGGUGUUAUGUGAACGUUGACUACAUGACACUUCACCAUUAUUUGGGCCUAGAGGAAGGCAUUGGGAAGUAAUAAGUAGAUGAUGGGUUGCUAGAGUAACAGAAGUUUAAACCCUAGUUUAUGCGUUGCUUCGUAAGGGGCUGAUUUGGAUCCAUACGUUUCAUGCUAUGGUUAGGUUUACCUUAAUACUUUUGUUGUAGUUGCGGAUGCUUGCAAUAGAGGUUAAUCAUAAGUGGGAUGUUUGUCCAAGUAAGGGCAGCACCCAAGCACCGGUCCACCCACAUACCAAAUUAUCAAAUUACCGAACGCGAAUCAUAUGAACGUGAUGAAAACUAGCUUGACGAUAUUCCCAUGUGUCCUCGGGAGCGUUUUACAUCAUAUAAGAGUUUGUCCAGGCUUGUCCUUUGCUACAAAAGGAUUGGGACACCUUGCCGCACUUUAUUUACUUUUGUUACUUGUUGCUCGUUACAAAUUAUCGUAUCACAAAACUAUCUGUUACCACUUAUUUCAGUAGUUGCAGAGAAUACCUUGCUGGAAACCGCUUAUCAUUUCCUUCUGCUCCUCGUUGGGUUCGACACUCUUACUUAUCAAAAGUACUACGAUAGAUCCCCUAUACUUGUGGGUCAUCAAGACUCUUUUCUGGCGCCUUUGCCGGGGAGUGAAGCGCCUUUGGUAGGUGGAAUUUGGUAAGGAAAAAUUUAUAUAGUGUGCUGAAAUUUACUGUCACUUGUCACCAUGGAAAGUAAUCCUCUGAGGUGCUUGUUCGGUGUAUCUUCACCCCGACCAGUAGAGCAAAAAGUUGCUCCUCAACCUACUGAACCUACUGAAAAUGAAAAUGAAAAUGCUUGCUUUGAAGUUCCUGCGGGUAUGAUAGAAAAACUGCUAGCUAAUCCUUUUUUAGGAGAUGGAACAAAACAUCAUGAUGAACAUCUGAUAUAUGUGGAUGAAGUUUGUGGAUUAUUUAAGCUUGCAGGUGUACCCGGAGAUGUUAUUAAGAAGAAGGUCUUCCCUUUAUCUUUGAGGGGAGAUGCAUCGACAUGGUAUAGGCUAUGUGAUGAUAUGAGGUCUUGGAAUUACAAACAAUUGAAAUUGGAAUUUCAUCAGAAGUUUUACCCUAUGCAUCUUGUUCAUCGUGAUCGCAAUUACAUAUAUAAUUCUUGGCCUCGCGAAGGAGAAAGCAUCGCUCAAGCUUGGGGGAGGCUUAAAUCAAUGUUAUAUUCAUGCCCCAAUCAUGAGCUCUCAAGAGAAAUAAUUAUUCAAAAUUUUUAUGCUCGGCUUUCUGGUAACAAUCGCACCAUGCUUGAUACUUCUUGUGCUGGCUCUUUUAUGAUGAAGACUAUUGAAUUCAAAUGGGAUUUAUUGGAAAGAAUUAAACGCAACUAUGAAGAUUGGGACCUCGACAAUGGUAAGGAGUCAGGUAUGACACCUAGUUUUGAUUGUGUUAAAUCUUUUAUGGAUACCGAUAUUUUUCGUAAAUUUAGCACUAAAUAUGGACUUGACUCUGAGAUAGUAGCUUCUUUCUGUGAAUCUUUUGCUGCGUAUGUUGAUCUCCCCAAGGAGAAGUGGUUUAAAUAUCAUCCUCCCAUAGAAGUAAAAGUAGCUGCACCUAUUAAAGUUGAAGAAAAGACUAUCACUUAAAAUGAUCCUAUUGUUCCUACUUAUGUUGAGAAACCACCUUUCCCUGUUAGGAUAAAGGAUCAUGCUAAAGCUUCAACUGUAGUUCGUAAAAGCAAUAUUAAAACAUAUACACCUCUUGAGCAAGUUAAAGUUGAACCUAAUAUUGCUAUUGUUAAAGAUCUCUUGUCUGAUAAUAUUGAUGGGCAUGUUAUUUAUUUUUGUGAUGAAACUUCUAGAAUUGCUAAACCCCGUGAUAAAGAUAAACCUAGACCUGUGGUAGGCAUGCAUGUUAUUUCUGUUAAAAUAGGAGAUCAUUGUUAUCAUGGAUUAUGUGAUCUGUAUGCUAGUGCUAGCGCAAUACCUCAUUCCUUAUACAAAGAAAUUAUGCAUGAGAUUGCACCUGUUGAAAUAGAAGAUAUUGAUGUCACAAUUAAACUUGCCAAUAGAGAUACUAUUUCGCCAAUGGGAAUUGUUUGAGAUGUUGAAGUCUUGUGUGGGAAAACCAAAUAUCCUGCUGAUUUUCUUGUUCUUGGUUCCCCACAAGAUAGCUUUUGUUCCAUUAUAUUUGGUAGACCCUUCUUAAAUACUGUUAAUGCCACCAUAGAUUGCAAAAGGGAUGUUGUUACUAUCGGUUUAGAUGAUAUGACUCAUGAAUUUAAUUUUUCUAAAUUUAGUAGACAACACCGUGAAGAAAAAUUACCUAGUAAGGAUGAAAUUAUUGGUCUUGCUUCUAUUGCCGUACCUCCUAGUGAUCCUUUAGAACAAUAUUUGCUAAACCAUGAAAAUGACAUGUUUAUGAAUGAAAGAAGGGAAUUAGAUCAAGUAUUCUUUAAAUAGGAACCUAUUCUGAAAAACAAUUUACCUGUAGAAAUCCUAGGGGAUCCUCCUCCACCCAAGGGUGAUCCCGUUUUGAGCUUAAACCGUUACCUGAUACUCUUAAAUAUGCUUAUCUUGAUGAGAAAAAGAUAUAUCCUAUUAUUAUUAGUGCUAACCUUCCAGAGCAUAAGGAAGAGAGAUUAUUGAAAACUCUGAAGAAGCACCAUGCUGCUAUUGGGUAUACUCUUGAUGAUCUUAAGGGCAUUAGUCCCACACUAUGUCAACAUAAACUUAAUUUGGAAGAAGAUGCUAAACCAGUUCAUGAUCAUCAACGCCGGCUGAAUCCUAAAAUGAAAGAAGUGGUAAGAAAGGAGAUACUAAAGCUCCUUGAGGCAGGUAUAAUUUAUCCCGUUGCUGAUAGUAAGUGGGUAAGCCAUGUCCAUUGUGUCCCUAAGAAGGGAGGUAUUACUGUUGUUCCUAAUGAUAAAGAUGAAUUGAUUCCUCAAAGAAUUAUUAUAGGUUAUAGGAUGGUAAUUGAUUUCCGCAAAUUAAAUAAGGCUACUAAAAAAGAUCAUUACCCCUUACCUUUAUCGAUCAAAUGCUAGAAAGAUUGUCCAAACAUACACAUUUUUGCUUUCUAGAUGGUUAUUCUGGUUACUCUAAAUACCUGUGUCAGCCAAACAUCAAUCAAAGACUACUUUUACAUGCCCUUUUGGUAAUUUUGCUUAUAGACGUAUGCCUUUUGGUUUAUGAAAUGCACCUGCUACCUUUCAAAGAUGCAUGAUGGCUAUAUUCUCUGACUUUUGUGAAAAGAUUUGUGAGGUUUUCAUGGACGACUUUUCCGUCUAUGGAUCUUCUUUUGAUGAUUGCUUGAGCAACCUUGAUCAAGUUUUGCAGAGAUGUGAAGAAACUAAUCUUGUCUUGAAUUGGGAAAAGUGCCACUUUAUGGUUAUUGAAGGUAUUGUCUUGGGGCAUAAAGUUUCUGAAAGAGGUAUUGAAGUUUAUAAAGCCAAGGUUGAUGCUAUUGAAAAGAUGCCAUGUCCCAAGGACAUCAAAGGUAUAAGAAGUUUCCUUGGUCAUGCUGGUUUUUAUAGGAGGUUCAUUAAGGACUUCUCAAAAAUCUCUCGGCCUGUGACUAAUUUAUUACAAAAAGAUAUACCAUUUGUCUUUGAUGAUGAUUGCGUAGAAGCAUUUGAAAUAUUUAAAAAAGCAUUGAUUUCUGCACCUAUUGUUCAACCACCUGAUUGGAAUUUACCCUUUGAAAUUAUGUGUGAUGCUAGUUAUUAUGCUGUAGGUGCUGUUCUAGGACAAAGAGUUGAUAAGAAACUAAAUGGUAUUCAAUAUGCUAGUAAAACUCUAGACAAUGCUCAAAGAAAUUAUGCUACCACUGAAAAAGAAUUCUUAGCAGUUGUAUUUGCUUGUGAUAAGUUUAGACCUUAUAUUGUUGAUUCUAAAGUAACUAUUCACACUGAUCAUGCUGCUAUUAAAUAUCUUAUGGAAAAGAAAGAUGCUAAACCUAGACUUAUUAGAUGGGUUCUCUUGCUACAAGAAUUUGAUUUGCAUAUUGUUGAUAGAAAAGGAGCUGAGAACCCCGUUGUAGACAACUUGUCUAGGUUAGAAAAUGUGCUUGAUGACCCACUACCUAUUGAUGAUAGCUUUCCUGAUGAGCAAUUAAAUGCCAUAAAUGCUUCUCAUACUGCUCCAUGGUAUGCUGAUUAUGCUAAUUACAUUGUUGCUAAGUUUAUACCACCUAGUUUCACAUACCAGCAAAAGAAAAAGUUCUUCUAUGAUUUGAGGCAUUACUUUUGGGAUGACCCACAUAUUUAUAAAGAAUGAAUGGAUGGUGUUAUUAGACGUUGUGUACCUGAGCAUGAACAGGAACAUAUCCUACGCAAGUGUCACUCCGAAGCUUAUGGAGGACACCAUGCUGGAGAUAGAACUGCACAUAAGGUACUGCAAUCUGGUUUUUAUUGGCCUACUCUCUUGAAGGAUGCCCGUAAGUUUGUCUUAUCUUGUGAUGAAUGUCAAAGAAUUAGUAAUAUUAGUAGACGUCAAGAAAUGCCUAUGAAUUAUUCACUUGUUAUUGAACCAUUUGAUGUUUGGGGCUUUGACUAUAUGGGACCUUUUCCUUCCUCUAAUGGUUAUACACAUAUUUUAGUUGCUGUUGAUUACGUUACUAAGUGGGUAGAAGCUAUUCCAACUAGUAGUGUUGAUCAUACCACUUCUAUUAAAAUGCUUAAAGAAGUUAUUUUUCCAAGAUUUGGAGUCCCUAGAUAUUUAAUGACUAAUGGUGGUUCACAUUUUAUUCAUGGUGCUUUCCGUAAAAUGCUUGCUAAAUAUGAUGUUAAUCAUAGAAUUGCAUCUCCUUAUCACCCUCAGUCCAGUGGGCAAGUAGAAUUGAGUAAUAGAGAACUCAAAUUAAUUUUGCAAAAGACUGUUAAUAGGUCUAGAAAGAAUUGGUCCAAGAAACUAGAUGAUGCAUUAUGGGCCUAUAGAACUGGAUAUAAAAAUCCUAUGGGCAUGUCUCCAUAUAAAAUGGUCUAUGGAAAAGCAUGUCACUUACCUCUCGAACUAGAACACAAGGCUUAUUGGGCUAUUAAAGAACUUAAUUAUGAUUUUAAACUUGCCGGUGAGAAGAGGUUAUUUGAUAUUAGCUCACUUGAUGAAUGGAGAACCCAAGCCUACGAAAAUGCCAAGUUGUUUAAAGAAAAAGUUAAAAGAUGGCACGACAAAAGAAUACAAAAGCGUGAGUUUAAUGUAGGUGAUUAUGUAUUGCUAUACAACUCUCGUUUAAGAUUUUUUGCAGGAAAACUUCUCUCUAAAUGGGAAGGUCCUUACGUUAUCGAGGAGGUCUACCGUUCCGGUGCCAUAAAAAUCAACAACUUCGAAGGCACAAAUUCGAAGGUGGUGAACGGUCAAAGAAUCAAACAUUAUAUCUCAGCUAAUCCCAUAAAUGUUGAAACCAAUGUUAUUGAAACCGUAACCCCGGAGGAAUACACAAGGGACACUUUCCGGAACGUUUCAAACUCCGAAAAGGAAUAGGUAUGUGGUACGGUAAGUAAACCGACUCCAAAACAGUUUUUAAGGCAAUAUUUCUCCGUUUUGGAAUAUUUAGAAAAAUAAAAACAUAAGAAGCAGUCUGGGAAGGACACGAGGCCUCCACGAGGGUGGAGGGCGCGCCCUACCCUACUUGGCGCACCCCCUACCUCGUGGGCACCUCGUGUGCUCUCCGGACUCCGUUUUCAUACACGACACGUAUUUUGGUCGGUAUAAAUUCAUUAUAUAAUAUCCCGGGGGUUUUGACUCCCGUAUCACGCAAAAAUCUCCUGUCUUUGUUUCGAGCUGUUUUCUGUCAGGGUUGUCAAGGCUAGGCAUUAUGUCAUCUCCCUCCUCCUCCAACCAUGAGGGCAACGAUGCUUGGCUAAUGAAGAUAGAGCUGAAGAGAGAAGAACCCAUGGAGAUCAACAAGGAUGAAGGGAUCAAGAAGGCCAUGGAGGACCAAGUUCCGGCAACAAAAGACACCCUUCAACUGGAUCACAACCUUCUUACCCCAACAGAAAUCAAAGCUUUCAAGAUGAUUGAGUUAGCUUGUAUGCAAAUUAAGUAUCUCACACGUGAAAAUAUUUUGUUGAAGGAGCACAUCAUCGCACUCAAGGGCAUUAUCCGCAAGUUAGAAGACCUCCUACGCUCAAUGUGCGACUAUCCAUCAUCAACAUCCCCACCUUCUUCACCAACAAAGGAGACAUAAUCACAUGGGUAUGGGCACUCCACUUGGCAACUGCCAAGCUUGGGGGAGUGCCCCGGUAUCGUAUCACCAUCACUUUUAUCUUUACCCUUUUUCUUAGUUCAAUCCUUUUGGUAAUUUCUUGAUCUAGUAGAAUAAAAGUUCUUAGUAUGAUCUAGUCGCGGGUUUUGCUUUAUUAUCCUCAUAUGUAAUCGAGUCCGUGAGCUAUAAAAUAAGAUUAGUGCUGAGUCAAGGGCUUGAUUAUUUUGCCAUGAUCCUAAGGGAAUAAAAGAAAAGAGAAAGAAAUAAAAAGAAACAAAGAGAUCAUGUGAGUCUUAUGGAGAGUAAUGAGCUCACGUAGAAAGAGUAUGAUGAAUAAAAGUUGUUUAGGGUUGACAAACACAGUUUUGGUCAUCGUUGCAAUUAAUAGGAAGUAAUAAAGAAAGAGAGGUAUUCACAUAUAAAUAUACUAUCUUGGACAUCUUUUAUGAUUGUGAGCAUUCAUUAAAAUAUGACAUGCUAAAGAGUUGAUAUUGGACAAGGAAGACAACAUAAUGGGUUAUGUUUUCUUACAUCUGAGAUGAAUUAUAUUGUCUUGGAUCUUCCAACAUGAUGAGCUUGCUUUUCCCCCUCAUGCUACCCAAAUUCAUUGCACCAAGUAGAGAUACUACUUGUGCUUCCAAAUACCCUUAAACCAGUCUUGCCAUAAGAGUUCACCAUAUCUACCUAUGGAUUGAGUAAGAUCCAUCAAGUAAGUUGUCAUCGGUGCAAGCAAUAAAAAUUGCUCUCUAAAUAUGUAUGAUUGAUUGGUGUGGAGGAAAUAAGCUUUAUACGAUCGUGUGAUAUGGAAGUAAUAAAAGCGACAGACUGCAUAAUAAAGGUCCAUAUCACAAGUGGCAAUAUAACGUGACGUUCUUUCGCAUUAAGAUUUUGUGCAUCCAACCAUAAAAGCGCAUGACAACCUCUACUUCCCUCUGCGAAGGGCCUAUCUUUUACUUUUAUCUCCUACAUUGCAUAAGAGUCAUGGUGAUCUUCACCCUUCCUUUUUACAUUUUAUCCUUUGGCAAGCACAAUAUGUUGGAAAGAUCCUGGUAUAUAUGGCUAAUUGGAUGUGAGUUUUCAUGAACUAUUACUGUUGACAUUACCCUUGAGGUAAAACGUUGGGAGGCAAAACUAUAAGCCCCUAUCGUUCUCUGUGUCCGAUUAAAACUCCAUACCCAUAAGUAUUGCGUGAGUGUCAGCAAUUGUGAAAGACUAUAUGAUAGUUGAGUAUGUGGACUUGCUGAAAAGCUCUUAUACAUUGACUCUUUCCUAUGUUAUGAUAAAUUGAAAUUGCUUCAAUGACUAAGAUUGUAGUUUGUUAGUUUUCAAUGAAGUUUACAAUUCAUACUUGAUAUUGUAAUUGAAUUAUUACUCUAGCAUAAGAGAUUAUAUGACAAGAAUUAUAUAAGUUGCUGUUCUAAGAAUGAUCAUGAUGCCCUCAUGUCCGUAUUUUAUUUUUAUCGAGACCUCUAUCUCUAAAUAUGUGGACAUAUUUUUCGAUUUCGGCUUUUCUCUUGAGGACAAGUGAGGUGUAGCGACCCGACCUCAGACGGUCAAGUCUCUGUGCUUAAGUGUCAUCCCUGGAUCGGUAUGCUGACACACACAGUACUCAAGGAUUUAUAACAGAGGUAAAUCACAUGUAUAAAGUAACGCAAAAUAUUAUUACCUCAAUCCAAAUAGCGGAAGUAACAAGGUUGUGGAUUCCCAUCAACACCAACGGCAAAGUUGAGUGUAGAAAUUGUAACCCUAACGUAUCACUUACUCAUCGUAAGAUUUCCUGCAACAUGAGACGUUGCAGCCACAAAAGGGUCAGUACAUUGAAUGUACUGGCAAAUUCACACCAUAGGAUAAUGAUGAAUAAAGGCUAUCACUACAUGCAUAUAUGGCUGGUGGAAAAAGCUCAAUGGUUAUAAUGUUUUUGCCAAAAGCCAAUUUUUCCCUACUGCAAAGGAAUAAAUUUUAUUUAACUAUCAUGGUGGUUGUUAAACAUUGAGAGUGUAGACACCCUCUCAAUCCCAAUUAAGCAUCAUCAUUAAAACCCAACAGAAUUAAUUAAAGUCACAUGAUGAGAUUCACAUGAUAAUCCAAGUACUAGAUACUCAAGACGUCCAUAACCGGGGACACGACUAAUCAUGAUUAGUUUAUACACUCUGCAGAGGUUUGCACACUUUUCCCCAUAAGACUCGAUCUCCUCUGUUGGAUUCUCGCACUACAUGGUCUUUGAGAAACGGAUGACCGAGACAUAGUCUUUCAGAAGCGCUAGCACCUUACGAUCGGGUAGACAGUUACACCUACUUUCCCCUACAUCUGCUAGUCUACCACUGUAAGAGUUCGCACGACUUAAUCAACUAUGCUAGAGCCCAUAGUAGCUUGUGGCUGCACAUGGAAGUUUCUAGCAUGAAUAAUCUCAUGAUCCCUUUGAGCCUGGGUGGUGGUCCAUAAAGAAAAACAAGCAAUCGCUGGAAUACCCAGGUGCCUCAAUCCACCCAGAUGUGUAUUAAAGUUGCCACCUUAAGUUGAACCAUUAAUUAACAUUCUCACAUCGGUCAUGGAUACACUCAAACCCAAUCCAUGUCUACAAGCAUAGCAUGGCAUAAGAAAACGUAGAAGUAACUCCCAGGGUUUGAUAAUGAAAUAGGUAAUAAGUACUACCUCAUCUACUUCCCAAACCCACAAUUUAAUUCAGAUCCUAACCAUGCAAUUGUUUGAGGGUUGAUCUAAUGCAAUAAAACUAGGUAGUAAAGAGGUAUGAUCAAAGUGUGAACUUGCCUGCAAUGUUGGUGAAGAUGAUUCACACUCAAAACUCUUGAUAGUUCCACUCGUCACACUCCGAUCAAUCUAUCGUAAGCAAGCAAUAGUAACCACACAUAAGCAAUCACUCAAAAGGGCCGGAAAGAACGAAGAACAAAUCGGAAAACAUCAAAACCAAGCAAAUAACUCUUGCAACGUAAAACAAUUUCUAACAGUACCAAAAUUAUGUGAAUUUGGACUUAUCAGAAAGGUUAGGUCAAGAGCUUCAAUUUGCAAAAAGAAUCAACUAAAACGGAGCUACGGAACUCAAUUUAUGAUCAAACGAAGUUUGAAUUCCAAUCUGGUUUAAUUCAAAUUUUAAACUUUCAGAAACAUGUUUGAGUUGGAUUACUGGAUAGAGGGGAUUAUAGUGAAGAAGUGAGCGUUGGUUUCAUUGGAUUUGGAUAAACGGGUAAAAAGUAGUGAUCGAUUGAAGAACAAGGGCUAUUUUGUAAAUAAAACAUCACAGAUAGGUCCCUGGCCGGAAUUAAAAGAAAAAAAUUAAAUAACGAACGUUCGUCACAGUACCUAAUCUAAUGAAUAUGCUCGCUGUAAAGAUCGAACUAGUGAACGCUCACAAACAAAAAAACGUUCAAAAAAAUAAGAUCUGGAUCGUUAGAUCUAGAUCCAACGGGCGGGAAGCGGAGGUUACCGCGGCGAUCACCGGAGUCCGAGAGGAUGAUGGCAGCGACCUUGGUCUCGGCCGGGGCGGCGGCUCCGGUGGUCGAGGAGGGUAACAGACAGGUCGGGGAGGGGCGGCGCGUCACGACGAGGAGGAUGGCGGCGUCGGCGGCGGUCCACGGCAACGAAAUGGAGCGGGGUGGAGGCGGCUCCGGCGAGAUGUGUGGCGGCGGCUCAAGAUGCGGCGCGAGAGGGAGGAGGAGAGGGCCCGGGCGGCGCCCUUUAUAGGAGGGGAGGGGAGGCGCCAGGCAUGGAUGUAACGCCCCGAGACCGUUGUGCCAGGUGUCGUCCAUUUAUUCGUUGUUGUUUGCCUUGUCUUUGCUUGCGUGUCAUGCAUUGCAUAUUAUGUCAUCAUGUGUAUUUCAUUUGCAUACGUGUUCGUCUCAUGCAUUCGAGCAUUUUCCCCGUUGUCCGUUUUGCAUUCCGGCGCCCCGUUCUCCUCCGGUGGUCAUUUCUACCUUCUUCUCUUGUGUGGGGGUUAAACAUUUCCGGAUUGGACCGAGACUUGCCAAGCAGCCUUGGUUUACUACAGGUAGACCGCCUGUCAAGUUUCGUACCAUUUGGACUUCGUUUGAUGCUCCAACGGUUAACCGAGGGACCGAAAAGGCCUCGUGUGUGUUGCAGCCCAACACCCUUCCAAUUUGGCCCAAAACCCACCUAAACCUCCUCCAUCAUCUUGGUCGUUCGAUCACGACCGCGUGGCCAAAAACCGCACCUAAUUUGGACUCCCCUAGCUCCCCCUACCUAUAAAUAUGUCCCUCCCCCCGAAAUUCGCGGUCUAACCCUAGUCUUCUUGCUCCGCCGCCAUCGGACACGUCCGGCCAUAUCUGGACGCAUUCGCCCGCCGCGCCCAGCCAGCCGCAUGCCGCCACGUGUCGCCGCCGGGUCUCCCCGUCGCCGGCCCGCUCGGCCCAGGGAGGGCCCCCGAGAGCCCGCGCUGCCGCCGCCCUUCUUCCUCCCCGCGCCGCCCGAGUGCAUCGCCGCGCCGCCACCUUCGUCCACGCUCCGCCCUUCGCCGGCCGGCNNNNNNNNNNNNNNNNNNNNNNNNNNNNNNNNNNNNNNNNNNNNNNNNNNNNNNNNNNNNNNNNNNNNNNNNNNNNNNNNNNNNNNNNNNNNNNNNNNNNNNNNNNNNNNNNNNNNNNNNNNNNNNNNNNNNNNNNNNNNNNNNNNNNNNNNNNNNNNNNNNNNNNNNNNNNNNNNNNNNNNNNNNNNNNNNNNNNNNNNNNNNNNNNNNNNNNNNNNNNNNNNNNNNNNNNNNNNNNNNNNNNNNNNNNNNNNNNNNNNNNNNNNNNNNNNNNNNNNNNNNNNNNNNNNNNNNNNNNNNNNNNNNNNNNNNNNNNNNNNNNNNNNNNNNNNNNNNNNNNNNNNNNNNNNNNNNNNNNNNNNNNNNNNNNNNNNNNNNNNNNNNNNNNNNNNNNNNNNNNNNNNNNNNNNNNNNNNNNNNNNNNNNNNNNNNNNNNNNNNNNNNNNNNNCGUCACCGCCCCUCGUCGCCCGGUGACCUCCGGCCGUCCACGUCGCCCCGCGCCGCCGUAGUACCUCCGCCGCCCCCGCACCACGUCGCCCCGGCCAGCGCCUCUCCUCGACAAGCGCGACCCCGCCGGCCACCUCUUCUUCUCCGGUGAGCUGCAGCUCCGGCCGUCCUCGGAUUCCGCGCCCGAUCUGGAUCCAGAUCCAGAUCCACCUCGGGUUGACUUUUGCCUCGAAACCCUAAUUUUUUGCACAUGUUCAUAGCAUCGUAACUCCACAUCCGUAACUCCGUUUUGGACAUAUAGCAUAUCAAAAUGUUCGUCUCAGAGAGUACAUCAUUUCAUUCCAUUGCAUUAUUUUCAUUUGAGUUCAUCUUGGUGCCCGAAAUGCUGUUAGAAGAGGCUACUUGAGAUAAUUGUCAGAUCUGCUGCUCCAUUUAGAUAUUUGUCAUUUUUGCCAUGAUUAUUGUGUGCAUGAUAUGCCCAUGAGCUCUACAUAUGUUUUGUUAAGGGUUUUGCCAUCUAUCCAGAGGUGCAACCCAUGUAUUUUUGUGAUGUGUGUGGUGACUAGCACAAGCUUGCCAAGUGAGGCACUUGGUAAUGCUGAUUUCAGGGACUUAGCAUUUCCACUAAGUCCUUGAUCUGUUUAUCUUAUAUGGCCAUAUGUUCAUGUUAUUUCCUAGUGAUCUGUGCCUCUUUUGAUGAUGAUCAGUAAGGAUGUUUUGUUAAUCUUGUAGUGCUCUAUCCAUCAAUGUCUUUGUUUGCAAUUAUGGAGCACCCUAGCUUGAGUCAAUCGAGCUCUACUUUUGCUAUUUCGUGAAUCUGGGCAGAUUGUCUACUUGUUAGCAAUUUUGCCGAGGAUGUUGUAGUUGAUCCGUGCAUGCUAUGCUAUUGUUCUUGCCAUGUCUAGCUUGUAUAAUGUGUAUUCUUGAUGGGUGUAUGCUUAGAUUGUCAUGACUUGCUUUAUAGUGAGUGCAUCGAGCUCGUAAACAUGCCUACUUGAAAUCUGUUUUCAGCAUGCUCCAGUUUUCACUAAGUAUGUGAUCUGAUUAUGUUUUUGCCAUGUUCACAUGCUUGCAAUUGUAUUUUAUGAUCCCUUUUGGCUCAAGGUCACUAAGGGACUUUUGUUAAGCUCUUUUAGUAGUUCCAUGCCAUGCUUUACUUUGCCAUGUUCAGGUCCUGUAGCAUAUAGUUUUCAUGCUCCGAAGUGUGCUACCUGAUCUGAAAUUCCAGACAAGUGUUAAUUUCACUAAGACUGAAAUCUGUUUACCGUAUGCACUUUUGCCAUGCUUGUUUGAACCUGUUAAUGGAUGAAUUGGCCGUAGCUCAGUGUUCAUCUUUUGUUAAGCAUCUUGAAUGGAUUCCUGCCAUGUAUUUUGUUGCCAUGUUUGAGUGUUGUAGCAUGUCCAUCUCAUUUCAUUUAGCUGGUUACUUGCUGUAUAUCGCAGACCGGUGCCAUAUUUGAAUUGCUUGCCAUUUCCAAACUGUAACUUCGAUUCCGGCGUUCUUUAUAUCGUUUUCAAGCAAUUUCAUCUCAUCUUUCCAGUGGCACACUUGGUUUUCCAAGUUGAGGCCAGAUCCAAUCAUUCCUUGUCAAAUCAUGCAUAUGCAUCGCAUACCGCAUCUCGCAUAUCAUACCAUGUUCAUGUGUUGGUUGUUUACUAUGUUGUGUGCUUCUUUUCCGGUGUUGCUUCUCCGGGUUGGUUCCGUUAACAUCGUGUUUGUGAGGAUUCAUUCUUCUACGUUCCGUUUGUCUUCUUCAUGGACUCGUUCUUCUUCCUUGCGGGAUUUCAGGCAAGAUGACCAUACCCUCGAAAUCACUUCUAUCUUUGCUUGCUUAGUUGCUCGCUCUUUUGCUAUGCCUAUGCUGCGAUACCUACCACUUGCUUAUCAUGCCUCCCAUAUUUUUGAACCAAGCCUCUAACCCACCUUGUCCUAGCAAACCGUUGUUUGGCUAUGUUACCGCUUUGCUCAGCCCCUCUUAUAGCGUUGUUAGUUGCAGGUGAAGAUUGGAGCUUGUUCCAUGUUUGGAACAUGGGUAUUUUGUUGGGAUAUCACAAUAUCUAUUAUUUAAUUAAUGCAUCUAUAUACUUGGUAAAGGGUGGAAGGCUCGGCCUUAUGCCUGGUGUUUUGUUCCACUCUUGCCGCCCUAGUUUCCGUCAUAUCGGUGUUAUGUUCUCGGAUUUUGCGUUCCUUAUGCGGUUGGGUUAUAAUGGGAACCCCUUGACAGUUCACUUUGAAUAAAACUCCUCCAGCAAGGCCCAACCUUGAUUUUAACUUUCGCCACCUAGCCUUUUUCCCUUGGGAGUCGCGCAUCCUGAGGGUCAUCCUAUUUUAACCCCCCCGGGCCAGUGCUUGUCUAAGUGUUGGUCCAACCCAGAGCACCGUGCGGGGCAGUCCCUUGGCAACUUGGGUUACGUUGGCUCCCGUACGCUUAGCUUAUCCGGUGUGCCCUGAGAACGAGAUAUGUGCAGCUCCUAUCGGGAUGUCGGCGCAUCGGGUGGUCUUGCUGGACUUGUUUUACCAUUGUCGAGGAUGUCUUGUAGAACCGGGAUACCGAGUCUGAUCGGAAUGUCUCGGGAGGAGGUCUAUUCCUUCGUUGACUGUGAGAGCUUGUCAUGGGCUAAGUUGGGACUCCCCUGCAGGGAUUUGAACUUUCGAAAGCCGUGCCCGCGGUUAUGGGCAGAUGGGAAUUUGUUAAUGUCCGGUUGUAGAAAACCUGAAGUUGACCUUAAUUAAAAUACAUCAACCGCGUGUGUAACCGUGAUGGUCUCUUUCCGGCGGAGUCCGGGAAGUGAACACGGUGUUGGAGUUAUGCUUGACGUAGGUUGUUUUAGGAUCACUUCUUGAUCAUAGUUUCUCGAUCGUGCUUUGCCUUCUCUUCUCACUCUCUUUUGCGUAUGUUAGCCACCAUAUAUGCUAGUCGCUUGCUGCAGUUCCACCUCAUACCUUUACCUUACCCAUAAGCUUAAAUAGUCUUGAUCGCGAGGGUGCGAGAUUGCUGAGUCCCUGUGGCUCACAGAUACUUCCAAAGCCAGCUUGCAGGUGCCGAUGAGACCGUGCAGAUGACGCAACCAAGCUCAGGAGGAGCUCGAUGAAGAUCUUGUCCUUUGUGUUGCUUCGUUCUAGUUGAUCAGUAGUGGAGCCCAGUUGGGGUCGAUCGGGGACCUUUGUCGCAUUUGGGGUUCUUCUUUUAUUUUGGUUCCGUAGUCGGACCUUGAUUGUAUUUGGAUGUUGUAAUGCUUUAUUCAUGUAAUUGUGUGAAGUGGCGAUUGUAAGCCAACUAUGUAUCUCUUUUCCCCUAUUGGAUUACAUGGGUUGUGAAGAUUACCUCACUUGCGACAUUGCUUUCAAUGCGGUUAUGCCUCUAAGUCGUGCUUCGACACGUGGGAGAUAUAGCCGCAUCGAGGGCGUGACAGUGGAGGAGGGGCAAGGGGAGGCGUGCCUGACUGGGACUCGGCGGUGGCGGCAGAGUCGGCCACACUUGGGACUUCGUCCCGAGCUCGAAGACGGAGGCGGUGGCAAGCUGGGCAAGGCCUGGCUGAGGAGUUGGGCCGGCCCAGUCGGCGGGGAAUUCUUUUCUUAAAUAACGAUUUUCCAGAAAAAAAAACUAAAACAAAAUAAACGAAAAUAAUAUAUAGGCAUAUAAUAUAUCAAAAUUUUCAGAAAACAAUUUUCUACAAUGUGAACAUUGUUGUAAUUUCAAAUAAAAUCUACAAAAAUUCGAAUAAAUCAAACAAUGCUACUGAUUCAAUAAAACCCACUAAAAACCAUUUUUAAAAAAUACCAAAAUGAUUUCAAAUUAAUUUUUCUCCAACUUCCUAUUGUAGGGAAUCAUGUUACCCUAUUUUCCAUGUAUUUUGUUUUUGGAGAAAAAUAAUUUGAAUAAAAUUCAAAUAACCCAAAUUGAAAAAUAAUAAUUUCAAAUGGAUUUUAAAUUUGAGUUUCUUUGAAACUCCCAACUCAUAUUUCAUAUGUUCUGAAGAAGUCAUUUUAUCUUCUCUCAUGAAAAUCAUUGAGUUGCUUAAAGUUUCAGAACUGGAAAUAUUUUCAAAUGAAAUUCAAAUAUUUUCAACACCCCUUUUCAUUUAAAUAAAUGGAAGAAGUCAUGUCAUCUUCUCUCUAGGGUUUUGUGGUGAAAAGAAUUUGAAUUCACGGAGAUCAUAAAAGCAAAAAAAUGAAAGUUUGGGAAAGUCCUUUUAUUCCCUCUCAUUUAACUUUCAAAAGGUUUCGACUUUCACUCAAUCUCACUCAAACAAUCAAACAGUCAAUCAAAUCUAUCUAUUUAUUAUAACAUUCCAAAAUUUAGAAUUUUGGGAUGUUACAAACCUACCACCCUUAAAAUGAAUCUCGUCCUCGAGAUUCGGAGAGGCUAGAAAGAAAUGGGUUAGGGUUUGGGGUCUCCUCAAAAUCCAUCAAUUGUCUUCGGGGUCUGGGGUGCUACCACCCUUAGAAUCAUUGUUACGAUUCCAUCAAAACUCAUAUACUCCAUCCUUAUUCUUGACAGUGUCAGUCUUCUCAGAUCAUAAGGAUGCUUCCUUCCCUGGGCUCUUCCAGUAGUGGCAUAACCUUUUCCUCAAUUCUUAUGUCCUUUCCUCUUAGUAAGGUUAUUCCGAGAUUGGGUCUUCUUAGCUGACAGGUCUAGCGCCAAUACUAACUAACUAUCGAUAUCUCAUGGUGGUCAACAAUUUAGGGUUUCUCCUGCAGGAAAUGGGUCUGGGUUGAACCUCACCGUAUAACCUACGAUUGGCAGCAACUGCCUUGUACAAAGGGAAAAAAUAAAUUGUCAUACCAUUCUAAGGUUUUAAGCAAGGUUUUAAUCGUCGUUUCUCUACUAUGGGUAAGUCACUCAGAUUCACCAUCCCAUAUAGCAAGGCGAAUAAUAAGAGUAAGUCGGUAUGGUGAUCAAUCCAUCCCGCACCCAAAUCAUUACCCUGUAUAUGGUUUAGCGAAUCUCGCAUUCUAACACUCGGUCAUCCUCACAAGCAUUACAGAAUUUCUCUUGUCAACGAACCAAGUUCGGAUAAAUCCAUUAAUUCUGCAAGCCAAACAAACAUCUAUUGUUCCUUCACAACUCUCAGGUUUUGCGUAAACUCGUAUAAAAUCAUCGGUUGAUAAAGUCGCAACUCCUUCCAGGUUUUUUUCCUUCAGCAAGAGUGUACUUGCCUCUUGGCAGUUCCUGGGGCAUGUGGGUUAUGGCCCAUCUCAUCACUUGUAGUCCUUAAACUUAUCAUCGGGCAACUGAUCAUUAUUCCAACUUCCAACUUCCUUGUAUUCUUAAAUCCAUCCAAUUGUACUGUCUUCCUUCCUUCUAUUGGCACCAAACUAGGACAUGAUUACUCAGACUCAUCAUGGAGUUUCCAUUGAUCCAUAUUUCCGACAUCAUACCUCCUUUAUAUCCAAUAGUAAUUUAUCUCUUCAUCCUCGUGGGUUAUCCCACAUAGCGAGAUAAAAAAACUUAUACUUAUGAAGUCCAUACUCCACUUCAUGGAACAUCAUUAUCCUUUCCAGGGUCAAGCGUCCUUACAGGGGAAUAUUGGCCAUCUCUGUAUGGCACUUCUUCAACUAGGAAACGUGAAACACAUCAUGAACUCCUGACAGUCCUUCCGGUGACUCCAACUUGUUGGCCACAUCUCCCAUAUGCUCCAAAACUUGGUAUGGUCCUACAAAUCUCGGGGAUAACUUUCCCUUAACUCCAAAUCGUUUAACUCCUCGCAGAGGGGACACACGAAGACAUGCUCUAUCUCCAAUUUCAUAGACUACCUCCUUGCGUUUUUGAGUCUGCCUAACUCUUCUGCCUGGAAUGAGCUACCUUCAGUCUAUCUCGAAUCAACUUAACAUUCUCUUCUGACUCCUUGAUCACAUUUGGUCCAAACAACUGACAGUCUCCAACUUCAUCCUACAUACUCUUGGGGUAUCACACAUAUCGAGACAAAACUCGUACUUAUUUUGUCUGAAAUCCACUCAGUGGAAUAUCCUUAUCUUUUCCAGGGGUCAAGGGUUAUUACAGGGUACUACCACCCUUAAAAAUGCACAAAUCUCCCAUAGACCAUAUUUCUCAUAUCCACAAAAAUGGUCAAAAUCCUUCUUCAUAGAGUAACAACUCAUAAAAUCCAAAUAGUACCCACGAUACUAACUUUAUUGAUUCUCAAAGUAUUACAAUCUCUCGCUUUUCCAUUACAUGUCUCAACUCAACACCUCAAUAUAAAAGAAAAUGCUCUCACCACUACUACUAUACUUCUCACAACUAAUUAUCACAAGUCCCCUUCUCCUUGGGGCAUUCUCUGGCAAAAUGCCCUGCUCCAUUACAACAAAAACAUAUUACUUCUGACAAGUCUCGAGGUUUCCUUUUUGGGCAACUGCUGAGGUAGUGCCCUGACUUCUUGCACCUGUAACAGGUGAUAUGACUCAGGUCCUUCCUGGAAUCCAAUCUGCUUCUCUUCCUGGACAUUUCCAUGCCGAUCAUGGCUUCUAUUUCUUGUGGGUCAUAUUCUACUUCCUCCAUCGAGAAUUCUACUAGAUCCCCAUUCAUACAAUUCUGGGAGAUGUGUCCUUCUUCUCCACAUGAAUAGCAUGACCUGGUGCAGGGUUUCAUUGGUUCUUCUUUGGGUAUGUCCCCGGCAUCUUCCUUCAUCAUGGGUUCUUCUAAAAUUCCCAUAAGGGCUCCUUUCUUUACUUCUUUCUUCUGCUGUAUGGUUCUUCGUACCAUGUGGUAAAUGUGACAUUGUGCAGGGUAGUGGGUAGUCCCUUCACACAAGAAACAAGUAAUCUGUCUAGUUGGGCAUUCUUCAACUUGGUGACUUCCUUCAUAAUUAGGGCAUUCAUCAUUGUGUUCUUUAUGGGUGUGUCCUAUUUCUCCACAAAGCUUGCACGCACAAGGUUUCUUUAUAUCCUUUCCAUAAGGCUUCAACUUCUAGGACACAAGAUGAGAUCUUUGUAGAGUUAACUUAAAUUCUUUCCAAGUGAUUACUCCCUGCCAUCCAUUGAUGGUUUGGUACAUCCUCCACCAAGUAGCAUGACCUCUUUCAAAGCACUGAAGAGCAUGAUGGGUCAUAUCCUUUCCAACUAUAGGGUUAUUCUUCAUAUGAUUCUCCAUGUUCUGAAUCCAUCGGUCCGUCUCCAAUUGACUCAUCGGUCCAGAAAAGGUGAGCUCAUUUCCAUUCAUCCUCUAUUGGGUCCAUGGGUUUUUUUGGGUGAGAUAAGAGAGAUAGAGAGGGAUACACACAAAGCAAACAAUAGUUUUGAAAAGACGGAUUUUAUUUGUGGCUGUCGGAAAAAAAACAUCAAACAAAUGACAGCUCAUAAUCGUCGCAUCUAACGUAGGUAUAUAAUAGGGGCUUGGUCUUCUAAAGGUCAAUGAAUCUUCAAAGUCAUCAAACUCUUCAAGUCUUGUUCCUGACUCUGAUGGCUUCUUCCGAUCGUGCUUGUCCUUCUCAACUUCUUUUGCCAGAUCAUCUCUGUUGACACGAAGUCUCUCAUGACGUCCUUCAUUAUUUCUAGAGUUGUGUUCCAAACUUCCGGGUUUCAACAUCCUUGGCAUGAGCCAUGGUCCUACUGUCCUUCAGUUCCUAACGAAUCUCCGGUAUCUCGAGGUUGUAGCUCCUCCAGCUUGGCUACUUUCAGCUUCUGGUUCUGAGUUCUUCACGAAAUGUUUCCUUGUCUAAUACUACUUCCUGCAGGUCCAUCUUAACUUCUUGAUGUAACAAUCCAGAUCCUGGUGAUACACCAGAUAAGGUUAAAACUUCAUCUUUUGCUGAUAGAUGCUCCAUCAGCCUUCUACCAUCCAAUCCUUCCAUGCAUAAGCAUGCUUAACUCAGCACCGUGAUAAUAGCAUCAGCGGGCGAUGACAUCACGGAUAACCGUGUUUCUGCUCUUGUCAUUUCCAUGAGCUAUCUUCCAUAGUUGAUAUCUCCUGCCUUAGGGUUUUCUUGACAAACCUUCGAGUUCUCAUGCUCCUUGUUUCAGUCUUUCUCCGAUACACCUUGAUCUCGGUAUUGAUAGCUUCCAUAGUCUGCCAAGUUCCAUAAGGUAGCCUUCCUAGGUCAUACAAAUCUGGGAAUUCUUCAGAGCCUUCAAAUUCUCCUUGUCUUCGGUCUUCAACAGUUGUAGUUUCCAUUGCACAGUAAAUACUCUUCAUUCCGAAGUGGUCUUUAGUUGUCCGAUAUCUUGUACUUCUGGAGUGGUCUCAUCAGUCAAAUCUUCAUGUGGUCAAAAGGGGAAAUGGGUAUGGUCUCGCUAAAGGGAAUAUUUGAAUACGCUCAGAAGAGAAGAGAGGUAAAAGAUCUUUUGAAAAUGAGGUUGUAGAGAAAAUCUUUCCUAUGGGCUUGCCAAUUUCUAGGGUCACGUCCUACAGUCAACAUGUGCUCUGAUACCAUCUUGUAGCGACCCGACCUCAGACGGUCAAGUCUCUGUGCUUAAGUGUCAUCCCUGGAUCGGUAUGCUGACACACACAGUACUCGAGGAUUUAUAACAGAGGUAAAUCACAUGUAUAAAGUAAUGCAAAAUAUUAUUACCUCAAUCCAAAUAGCGGAAGUAACAAGGUUGUGGAUUCCCAUCAACACCAACGACAAAGUUGAGUGUAGAAAUUGUAACCCUAACGUAUCACUUACUCGUCGUAAGAUUUCCUGCAACAUGAGACGUUGCAGCCACAAAAGGGUUAGUACAUUGAAUGUACUGGAAAAUUCACACCAUACGAUAAUGAUGAAUAAAGGCUAUCACUACAUGCAUAUAUGGCUGGUGGAAAAAGCUCUAUGGUUAUAAUGUUUUUGCGAAAAGCCAAUUUUUUCCUACUUUAAAGGAAUAAAUUUUAUUUAACUAUCAUGGUGGUUGUUAAACAUUGAGAGUGUAGACACCCUUUGAAUCCCAAUUAAGCAUCAUCAUUAAAACCCAACAAAAUUAAUUAAAGUCACAUGAUGAGAUUCACAUGAUAAUCAAAGUACUAGAUACUCAAGACGUCCAUAACCGGGGACAUGGCUAAUCAUGAUUAGUUUAUAUACUCUGCAGAGGUUUGUGCACUUUUCCCCACAAGACUCGAUCUCCUUCGUUGGAUUCUCGCACUACAUGGUGUUUGAGAAACGGAUGACCGAGACAUAGUCUUUCAGAAGCGCUAGCACCUUACGAUCGGGUAGACAGUUACACCUACUUUCCCCUACAUCUGCUAAUCUACCACUGUAAGAGUUCACACGACUUAAUCAACUAUGCUAGAGCCCAUAGUAGCUUGUGGCUGCACACGGAAGUUUCUAGCAUGAAUAAUCUCAUGAUCCCUUUGAGCCUGGGUGGCGGUCCAUAAAGAAAAACAGGCAAUCGCUGGAAUACCUAGGUGCCUCAAUCCACCCAGAUGUGUAUUAAAGUUGCCACCUUAAGUUGAACCAUUAAUUAACAUUCUCACAUCGGUCAUGGAUACACAAACCCAAUCCACGUCUACAAGCAUAGCAUGGCAUAAUCAAACGUAGAAGUAACUCCCAGGGUUUGAUAAUAAAACAGGUAAUAGGUACUACCUCAUCUACUUCCCAAACCCGCAAUUUAAUUUAGAUCCUAACCAUGCAAUUGUUUGAGGGUUGAUCUAAUGCAAUAAAACUGGGUAGUAAAGAGGUAUGAUCAAAGUGUGAACUUGCCUGCAAUGUUGGUGAAGAUGAUUCGCACUCAAAACUCUUGAUAGUUCUACUCGUCACACUCCGGUGAAUCUAUCGUAAGCAAGCAAUAGUAACCACACAUAAACAAUCACUCAAAAGGGUCGGAAAGAACGAAGAACAAAUCGAAAACAUCAAAACCAAACAAAUAACUCUUGCAACGUAAAACAAUUUCUAACAGUACCAAAAUUAUGUGAAUUUGGCCGUAUCAGAAAGUUUAGGUCAAGAGCUUCAAUUUGCAAAAAGAAUCAACUGAAACGGAGCUACAGAACUCAAGUUAUGAUCAAACGAAGUUUGAAAUCAAAUCUGGUCUAAUUCAAAUUUUAAACUUUCAAAAACAUGUUUGAGUUGAAUUACUGGAUAGAGGGGAUCAUAACGAAGAAGUGAGCGUUGGUUUCAUUGGAUUAGGAUAAACGGGUAAAAAGUAGUGAUCGAUUGAAGAACAGGGGAUAUUCUGUAAAUAAAACAUCACAGAUAGGUCCCUGGCCGGAAUUAAAAGAAAAAAAAUCUAAAUAACCAACGUUCGUCACAGUACCUAAUCUAAUGAAUAUGCUCGCUGUAAGAUCGAACUAGUGAACACUCACAAACAAAAAAAA